rnacentral:lncRNA from 1 species
UUAUUAUUUGAUUAUUUGCUUCCUGUUUAGAUAUGAUUCUUUGUGUAUAAAUAGUCAUGUAGACCAAUUAUAAAGAUUAAGAGUGAAAUACAAGAAUACUCAAAAUUUUCUCCAAAAUUCUUCAUGGCACAGUUUAUAAACCUUUACCAUGGCAGAAGGUAAAAGGGUGUCGAUGACAGAAAGUAAAAGGGUGUCGAUAGCAGAAGGUAAAAGAGUCUCGAUUCCUAACUCUGAUUACUCAUUCUUCAGUGCCACAUCUGACUUUGUAAAGUCAGGUAAUGCUUCAUCUCUUCAUAAUAUUCCAUGGAUUAUCGAUUCUGGUGCGAAUAGACACAUGACAGGUUCUUCUAAAGGCUUUCUCAAUUAUUUUCCUUCCCUAACCAAAGAUAGUGUCAAAAUUGCUGAUGGCUCUUUUACUCCCAUAUCCGGAACAGGUUCUGUUAUUUGCACAUCCAAUAUUAAAUUAUCAUCUGUCCUCCAUGUUCCCCACUUUCCUGUCAACCUUUUAUCUGUUAGUGCUAUCACCAAUGUCCUUAAUUGUAAAAUUGAAUUCUUUCCUGAUCAUUGUGUUAUUCAGGAUCUUCACACAGGAAAGAGGAUUGGCAAUGGUAGGCUGCAUGAUGGCUUAUAUAUGUUGGAGGGUGAUCCAGGUUCUUCGAUAUCUCAAGCUUGUUUUGGAGAAAAUAAGGAUGUCAAUCAGGAAAUAAUACAGUGGCACAGACGGUUAGGGCAUCCAUCAUUUUUUGCCUUAGAAAAACUUUAUCCUAAUUUAUUUGCUAGAACUCUGUUUGAUUCUCUAUUUUGUGAUGCUUGUGAGUAUGCUAAACACACUAUAACAUCCUAUCCUUUGAGUCAUAAUAAAAGUCAAAUUCCUUUUGCGACUAUUCAUUCUGAUGUUUGGGGGCCUACUCAAACUGUCUCUUUGUCUGGUAAUCGAUGGUUUGUCACCUUUAUUGAUUGUUGCACUCGAAUGACUUGGGUCUAUUUGAUUAAAGCUAAAAGUGAUGUCUUUUCUUGUUUUCAAUCCUUUCAUAAGAUGGUUUGUACUCAAUUUGAUACUAAGGUGAAAAUUUUGAGAACUGACAAUGGAAGAGAAUACAUAGAUAGUAGCUUUUCUGUUUAUUUGGAGAGUAAUGAGAUAAUACACCAGACUAGUUGUCCUUAUACUAGUGCUCAAAAUGGCAUUGCUGAGAGGCAAAAUAGGCAUUUAUUGGAGGUAACUCGAUCUCUUAUGUUCACCAUGAAUCUACCCAAAGCAUAUUGGGGAGAUGCAAUUCUUGCAUCUGCUUAUCUUAUCAAUAGAAUGCCUCUCAAGACCCUUGACUUUAUGAGUCAUUUGGCGGUUCUACAAGGAAGAAUUUAUACGUUAUUCCACUAAAAGUGUUUGGGUGUGUUUGCUUUGUCCAUACUAGGACGGCAGGAAAUCUGGAUCCCAAGGCCCUUAAAUGUGUGUUUGUUGGGUAUUCUCCAACAUAGAAGGGAUACAAGUGUUAUCAUCCUCCCUCUAGGAAAUACUUAGUAUGGAUGUUACUUUUCGAGAAACUGAACCCUACUUUAGUACCAUCCACUCAUCUCUUUAGGGGGAGAAUAAUGAGCAAGAAGAGGUGAUCCCGAAUUCUGUGAUUCUGAAUGAUAUGGUUCAACUAGAAAGUUCGAGUUCUAGUAGACAGGGGGAGAUGUCCAAUCAGGGAGAGAGAACCGGUCGUUUGGACAAGCCAGAUUUGAGAAGGUAUUCGAGGAGAGACAAGGCAGAAGAAGCCAUUAUGCAGUCUACUCAGAGUCAAGAAUCUUCUCCUGGUGAGUUACCCAGUCAUGAAUUUUCUUCUGGUGAGUUACCCACAACUCUUUCUUCUGGUGAGUUACCCACAACUCUUUUUUCCGGUGAGUUAUCCACAACUCUUGAAUGUUUCAAUGACUUAGAUAAACCUAUUGCACAAAGAAAAGGGGUCAGAUCUUGCACUAAACACCCUAUUUCUAACUUUGUUUCUUAUGAAUCUUUAUCUCCUUCCUAUAGAGCCUUUGCCUUGUCUAUUUCCUCUGUGUCUAUUCCACAGGAUUGGAAGAAAGCUCUUGCAGAUCCUAAAUGGAAGAAAGCAAUGAUUGAAGAGAUGAAAGCAUUGGCUAAAAAUGAGACUUGGGAGCUUGUCACUCUCCCACCUGAGAAGAAACUCGUUGGCUGUAAAUUGGUGUUCACAGCGAAAUACAAAGCUGAUGGCACAAUUGAACGGUUUAAGGCUAGAUUGGUUGCUAAAGGAUUCACCUAAACCUAUGGAGUGGAUUACCAAGAGACAUUUGCCCCAAUUGCAAAAAUGAACUCAAUCAGAGUUUUGUUAUCUUGCGCAGCCAACUUGGACUGGGACUUGCAACAGUUUGAUGUGAAGAAUGCUUUCCUCCAUGGAGAUUUAGAGGAAGAAGUGUUCAUGGAAAUUCCUCCUGGGUUCGCUGAUGAGAAGACACAAGGAAAGGUAUACAGGUUAAAAAAGGCUUUGUAUGGGCUAAAACAAUCUCCCAGAGCUUGGUUUGACAGGUUUAGUAGAGUCAUGAUGUCCUUUGGUUACCAACAAAGCAAUGUUGAUCACACUCUGUUUAUCAAACAUCAUAAGGGUAAGAUCACCCUUCUUAUUGUGUAUGUUGAUGAUAUAGUGGUGACAGGUGAUGACAAAGAGGAAAUGGCUCAACUAAAGAGGUUGUUGGCCCAGAAAUUUGAAAUCAAAGAUCUGGGAAAACUGCAAUAUUUUCUAGGUAUCGAGGUGGCUAGAUCAGAAAAAGGAAUUUUCAUCUUCCAAAGAAAGUACAUUCUAGAUCUUUUAGAAGAAACUGGUAUGAUGGGGUGUAAACCAGCAGAAUCUCCCAUUGAAAGUAAUCACAAGCUGAAAGCAGGAACUGGUGAGUCCGUGGAUAUUGGAAGANNNNNNNNNNNNNNNNNNNNNNNNNNNNNNNNNNNNNNNNNNNNNNNNNNNNNNNNNNNNNNNNNNNNNNNNNNNNNNNNNNNNNNNNNNNNNNNNNNNNNNNNNNNNNNNNNNNNNNNNNNNNNNNNNNNNNNNNNNNNNNNNNNNNNNNNNNNNNNNNNNNNNNNNNNNNNNNNNNNNNNNNNNNNNNNNNNNNNNNNNNNNNNNNNNNNNNNNNNNNNNNNNNNNNNNNNNNNNNNNNNNNNNNNNNNNNNNNNNNNNNNNNNNNNNNNNNNNNNNNNNNNNNNNNNNNNNNNNNNNNNNNNNNNNNNNNNNNNNNNNNNNNNNNNNNNNNNNNNNNNNNNNNNNNNNNNNNNNNNNNNNNNNNNNNNNNNNNNNNNNNNNNNNNNNNNNNNNNNNNNNNNNNNNNNNNNNNNNNNNNNNNNNNNNNNNNNNNNNNNNNNNNNNNNNNNNNNNNNNNNNNNNNNNNNNNNNNNNNNNNNNNNNNNNNNNNNNNNNNNNNNNNNNNNNNNNNNNNNNNNNNNNNNNNNNNNNNNNNNNNNNNNNNNNNNNNNNNNNNNNNNNNNNNNNNNNNNNNNNNNNNNNNNNNNNNNNNNNNNNNNNNNNNNNNNNNNNNNNNNNNNNNNNNNNNNNNNNNNNNNNNNNNNNNNNNNNNNNNNNNNNNNNNNNNNNNNNNNNNNNNNNNNNNNNNNNNNNNNNNNNNNNNNNNNNNNNNNNNNNNNNNNNNNNNNNNNNNNNNNNNNNNNNNNNNNNNNNNNNNNNNNNNNNNNNNNNNNNNNNNNNNNNNNNNNNNNNNNNNNNNNNNNNNNNNNNNNNNNNNNNNNNNNNNNNNNNNNNNNNNNNNNNNNNNNNNNNNNNNNNNNNNNNNNNNNNNNNNNNNNNNNNNNNNNNNNNNNNNNNNNNNNNNNNNNNNNNNNNNNNNNNNNNNNNNNNNNNNNNNNNNNNNNNNNNNNNNNNNNNNNNNNNNNNNNNNNACCCUCGCGAGACUCAUAUGCAAGCUGUACUUCGCAUCUUGAGAUACCUAAAGUCUGCUCCAGGGAAAGGGCUACUUUACUCCAAAUAUGGUCACCUCCGAAUUGAAACUUUUACAGAUGCAGAUUGGGCAGGAUCUCUCGAUGACAGGAGAUCCACCUCUGGCUACUGCACAGUUGUGGAGGGAACCUUGUCACUUGGAGGAGCAAAAAACAAAGUGUUGUUGCUCGGUCAAGUGCGGAAGCAGAAUACAGAGCAAUGGCCUAAGGAGUGUGUGAACUCUUAUGGUUGUAGAAGUUAUUGGAAGAGUUGAGAUUGUCCGAGAGAGACAAGAUAACCUUGUAUUGUGACAAUAAAGUUGCUAUAAGUAUAGCACAAAAUCCAGUCUAACAUGACCAAACGAAGCACAUUGAAAUUGAUCGGCACUUCAUUAAAGAAAAAUUAACAGACGGUGUCUUGAGCCUAGUUCAUGUGACUUCUACGGGGCAAUUUGCGGAUGUGUUUACUAAAGGGCUUAACAACAAGAUCUACCAUAAUCUGAUUUGCCAGUUGGGUAUGUGUGACAUCUUUGCACCAACUUGAGGGGGAGUGUUGACUUAUUUACUAAUCCUAGCUGAUUCUAGGGAUUUGAUUUGAUCUGAUUAGGAUCCUUAAUUAUCUCUGUAAUUAUUAUUUGAUUAUUUGCUUCCUGUUUAGAUAUGAUUCUUUGUGUAUAAAUAGUCAUGUAGACCAAUUAUAAAGAUUAAGAGUGAAAUACAAGAAUACUCAAAAUUUUCUCCAAAAUUCUUCACACCCUUUUCUUAGGAGACACCUUGAGCAACACCAUAUCUCCCUCCUGGAACACAACAUGCUUCCUGCGGACGUCUGCAUAACUCUUCUGUCUACUCACAGCUGUUUUGAUUCUUUCUCUGAUAAUAGGCACUACCCUGCUGGUGAUCUCAACUAAUUCUGGCCCUGCCAAGGCCCUUUCUCCUACUUCUUCCCAGCAGACGGGUGACCUGCACUUCCUCCCAUAUAGAGCUUUAUAAGGAGCCAUCCUAAUGCUAGCAUGGUAACUGUUAUUGUAGGCAAACUCUACCAACGGUAGAUGUUGCUUCCAAGAACCGCCAAAAUCUAGCACACACAUUCUCAACAUAUCUUCUAUCGUUUGGAUGGUCCUCUCUGACUGUCCGUUAGUCUAUGGAUGAAAGGCAGUGCUAAAGUCCAACCUCGUGCCCAUAGCAUUCUGCAGACUCCGCCAAAACCUGGAGGUAAACUGGGGUCCUCUAUCUGACACUAUUAAUACUGGAGCCCUAUGCAGCCUGACGAUCUCUUCUACAUAUAUCUGUGCCAAUUUUUCCACAGAGUAACCACGCCUGACAGGAAUGAAGUGAGCAGAUUUGGUCAGUCUGUCCACUAUUAUCCAUAUAGAGUCUAAUCUGUUAGACGUUGCUGGUAACCCCACCACGAAAUCCAUCGCCACAUUUUCCCAUUUCCACUCUGGAAUCCGUAGUGGGUUGAGCAUCCCAGCUGGCUUCUGAUGUUCCAGCUUCACCCUCUGACAUAUUUCACAAGCAGACACAAACUGCGCCACUUCCCUCUUCAUAGUUGGCCACCAGUAAACUCUCUUCAGAUCUUGAUAUAUUUUGGUGGCCCCAGGGUGAACACUAUACCUAGCAUUAUGAGCCUCUCUCAUAAUGUCUCCCUUCAAACUCACGUCAUCUAGUACACAUAAUCUAUUUCCGUAACGGAGGAUCCCUUUGUUGUUAAAUCUAAACUCAUCAUUCUUGCCUGCCUGAACAGUUCUCGCUAUCUUUACCAACUCAGGGUCUUCAUGCUGUUUCUGUGCCACCUGCUCCAGAAACACGGGUGACAUUAUCAUCUGAGCCACUAGUGCACCUGUACCAGACAACUCUAACUGUAAACCCUCAUUAAUGAGCUUGUAAAAUUCUCUCACCACCGGUCUUCUCUCUACUGAGAUAUGGGAUAGACUGCCAAGUGAUUUCCGGCUGAGAGCAUCUGCUACUACAUUUGCCUUACCCGGAUGAUACUGGAUCUUGCAAUCAUAAUCACUAAGCAGUUCUACCCACCUUCUCUGCCUCAGGUUCAACUCUUUCUGACUCAAGAUGUAUUAUAAACUCUUAUUAUCUGUAAAGAUCUCACAUUUUACCCCAUACAGGUAAUGCCUCCACAUCUUGAGUGUAAAGAUCACAGGUGCCAUCUUUAGAUCGUGUGUAGGAUAAUUCAACUUGUGCUUCUUUAGCUGUCUAGAAGCAUAAACAAUUACCCUCUCAUUUUGCAUUAGCACACAACCUAGUCCCACUCGGGAUGCAUCACAACACACUGUGAAAUUCUCAUUACUCGUAGGCAGAGCUAACACCGGUAUUGACGUUAGUCUUUUCUUCAGCUCUUUGAAACUCUCUUCACACUGUUCCGACCAAACGAACCUCUGAUUCUUUUUGGUCAAUCUGGUCAUAGGAGUAGCAAUUUUUGAGAAAUCCUGGACAAAUCUCCUGUAGUAACCUGCCAAACCAAAAAAGCUUUUAAUCUCUGUCACUGUAGUGGGUCUGGACCAGUUAGCUACAGCUUCUACUUUCUUGGGGUCCACCUCAAUUCCCUUUUCUGACGCCACAUGCCCCAAGAAAGAGAUACUCCUCAACCAGAACUCACAUUUAGAGAACUUGGCAUACAAGCCGUGUUCCCUCAAGGUUUGCAACACAAUCCUCAGAUGAUGGGCAUGCUCCUCUGCGUUUCUGGAAUACACCAAGAUAUUGUCAAUAAAAACAAUAACAAAGUGAUCCAGAAACUGACUAAAAACUCUGUUCAUGAGAUCCAUGAAUGUUGUAGGGGCAUUGGUUAACCCGAACGGCAUCACUAGGAACUCAUAAUGCUCAUAUCUGGUCCUGAAGGCUGUCUUGGGUACGUCUUCCUCUCUGACCCUCAGCUGAUGAUACCCGGAUCUCAAAUCUAUCUUCGAAAAACAACCGGCUCCUGCUAGCUGGUCAAACAGAUCAUCGAUCCUGGGUAACAGAUACUUAUUCUUGGUAGUGACUUUGUUCAACUGUCUAUAGUCGAUACAAAACCUUAGGGAUCCAUCCUUCUUUUUCACAAACAAAACUGGGGCACCCCAUGGUGAGGUACUAGGUCGGAUGAAACCCUUAUCUACCAACUCUUGCAACUAUUCUUUCAAUUCUUUUAACUCUGCAGGUGCCAUCCUAUAGGGAGGAAUAGAGAUGGGUUUGGUUCCUGGCAUUACUUCAAUUUCAAACUCUAUCUUCCAAGCAGGUGGUAAACCUGGUAGCUCGUUCGGGAAAACAUCAAGAAACUCUCUGCCUACCGGCACUGAAGCUGGUUCCCUAACCUGACUGUUAAGCUCUUUGACAUGAGUAAGAAACCCCUGACAACCCCUCCUAAGCAACCUAUGAGCCUGUAGGGCCGAUAUCAAACCUCUAGAUAUCCCUAUCUUGUCUCCUCUGAGGACAAUCUCUGACCCAUCUUGUUCUCUGAACCUAUCUACCUUGUCUCUGCAGUCCAAGGCAGCACCAUGAGUAGAGAGCCAAUCUAUCCCUAGAAUGACAUCAAAAUCGGUCAAAUCUAGAACCACAAGGUCAGCUGGAAGGCAUCUACCCUCAGCAAAAACUGGACUGAACCGGCAGACUGACUCUAUCACAGAUGGAUCACACUUGGGCCUACUGACCCAAAGAGGACACUCUAGCCCAGAAGCUAUCAAAUCCAAACUCUCUAUGGCUCUCGGAGAAACAAAAGAAUGAGAGGCACCAGGGUCCAUAAGAGCAUACACAUCAGAACACCCAAUAGUGAGUUUACCUGACACCACCGUGUUUGACGUAUUUGCCUCCUGCUGUGUCAUGGUGCAGAUUCGCGCCGAAGCUGAAGGACCUUCUCCUUGGGAACCUGCUGAAGAAGAUGCUGUCCCUCUCCCUCUGCCUCUACCUCGCCCUCUGCCCUGAGAUGUGGUCAAAGCUGCUGGCUGCGCCACCCUGCCAGAAGCUGUCUGCUGGGACUGUGCUAUCCUAGCUGCACUGGGACACUCACGUGCCAUGUGCCCCUCCUGUCCGCAUCUGAAACAUGCUGUAGUCCCAAACCGACAAACCCCUUUGUGCGGCUUACCGCACCUCAUACAUUCGGAGCUAUCUGAACCAGAGCUUGAACCACCACCCAUUCCCAUACCAUACUUCAACCGGUUCCAGAACUUGUUCUUCUUGGGCUUCUUAGUGGACCUGGUCCACUUUUUACCUUCUGUGGCGGCUGCACUCAGAGAGGAGAGAUCAAUAUUCCCUGUUCCCGGGGUUUUGGAACCCGAGGACUGUGCCACCUAUUGUUUAACUGUCCCCUAUAUGAUGGCACUAGCCUCCAUCUUCCGUGCUGCAUCCACAAUAGUGUGGAAACUCUCCCUCUCUGCUGCUAAGAUUAGGGAGGAAUACCUAGAGUAGAGUCUCAUGGUAUACCUCCUGGCCUUCUUCUGGUUAGUGUCAUAUGCCUGAUCCGUAAACUGAAACAACUCCAGAAACUUGUCUGUAUACUCAUCCACGCUCAUCUCUUCAGUUUGUCUCAACUGCUCAAAUUCUAUCACCUUCAACUCCCUCGAACUAUUUGGAAAAACCCAUCCUGCAAAUUCAUUAGCAAACUGUUCCCAAGAUAGGCUGUUCAGUCUCGGGUCCACAUAAUUUUUGAACCACUCCUUUGCCUUCUUGCAUUUAAGAGUGAAUCCCAUCAUCUGAAUGGCUCUGUUGUCACUAGCCCCAACUCAUCAAUUAUCAUUUUCACCGUCUUGAGGUACUCAAACGGAUCAUCACAUGUUGUAUAUUUGGGAGCAUCCAACUUCAGAUAGUCCGUCAUUUUCACCUUGCUCCCAGCUGAUGGGUUAGGUUUGGAUGAUUGGGUUUCAGGAACCACUGGCUCUACUGGGGGAGAAGGAGGUGCAGCAUUCCCUGGGUUAGGGUUUGCUGGAUUGUGAUAAAAAGGUGAGGGUGAAAACAUCGGGUAGGGUGGAUAUAGAGGGUAGUAGGGAGGAUAGGGCAUGAAUGAGGGAUAUGGGUUGUAGCUAGAGAAAUCCAAUGUGCCUCCCAUCGGAUACCCUGGUCCCUGUGGGUAGGGUUGGUACCAUGGUUUCAAAUAACGGCUGUUACGUAACGUAACGGCCGUUAUUUACAGGUAAAGGAGGCUACCGUGGCCGUUACGGCCGUUAUUUAACGGCAAAAAAAAAUUGUUGCCGUAAUGGCCGUUACGGCCGUUACGCAACGGUAACGGCCGUUAUCGGCCGUUACCAGCCGUUAUGUAACGGCCGUAACGGCCGUUACUUUACUUUAUAUCAGAAUCUUGCAUUAUUGUCCAGCAACCAGCAGCUCCAGCAGCUUCAGGAAUCUUGCAGAGUUUGUCCAGCAGCUCCAGCCUGUGCUUCACGUGAAAAAUCUCUACCUUUUCUACUUCUUUUUAUUCUCUUCCAUCCAGCACUUCUGCACUUGAGUCUCUCCAGCAGGCAGCACUUCUUCUCCAUUUCCUCCAGCCUCCAGUCCAGCAGGCAGCAACCAGCAAGCACUUCUUCUCCUCCAUUUCCUCCAGCCUCCAGCAAGCAGCAGCAGCACUUCUCCUCCAUUUCAAUUCUUCUUCUUCCAUAGUUUUUUUCUUCCAUAAUCCAUACUUAUUUCCAGCCUCCAUUGAGGUAAGUUACUGUUUAAAAUUUAUGAAUUUUAUAUUUAUUUGAUAUAUUUGUACUUAUUAUUAAGUUAUAUAAUUUAAUUUUUAUUAUACCUUUUAAUUUCAUGAACUUUACAAGUUAUAGGCUUACAGCAUACAAUUUACUUUAUUAUAAUAUAUUUUUUGUUUACACGUUAAUUUGAAUUUAAUUUAAAUUGCACAUUAAUUUGAUAAUAUAUUUUUUAUUUUACAGUAUAUUAUUUGAUAAUUUGAAAAUGCCGAGAGGGGGAUCUGAUAAACCAAGUCAAGAUAUUGGAUGGAAUUUUGCCACUCCUACGGGAAAAAAAGGAGAAAUGACCUGUAAUUUUUGUGGUAAAAAAAUAACUGGGGGGAUAACUCGCUUGAAGCAGCAUUUGGCAAAUAUACCGGGGCAAGUUGCUGGUUGUCAAAAAGUUUCUGCGCAAGUAAAAAAAGACAUGGGAAAUAUGUUGAGGGGUUUUGAAGCUGCAAAAAGGGAUAAAGCAAAGAGGGCAAGGGAGUUGGAAGAUGAAAUCAUGAAGAUGACAGAAGUUAAGGGUUCAGAUUCAGACGAAGAAGAUAUCGAACUAGAAAUUGCGAGACGCGAAAGCAUGCGGCAGUUUGAUGAAGAUGCUUAUAGAAGGAGAGCUUCUCAUUAUGAAAGUGGUGGGAGUAGCCAUCAAGCUCCUCCUCGCUCGGGAAUUAGUCGUUCAGCGACCGUUCGUGAAAGAGGUAGAGAAGCAUCAAGAUUUGUCGAGCAAACAUCAACACCUGCUUCUAGAUUAGCAGCAGCUGAAAUUGAAAUAGAAAAGAACAGAAGUCAGAAACAAACAAAGAUUAAAACCAAAUGGCUUAAGUCGCAGAAAGAAAAGUUGCUUAAAGCCUUUGGUAAUUUUGUUAUCCACAACAGAUUACCUUUUAGUGUGGUUGAGUCACCAUGGACAAAGCCAUUACUCAGAACGGCCGCUGAAGUGGGACCUAAUGUAUCACCACCUUCAGCAUAUGAGAUCUCUGAAGUAUACUUGAAAAAUGAAUACAAAGAAAUGAAGAAAUAUAUUGCUUCAUUUGAGGGCAUGUGGAAUGAAAGAGGAGUUACCAUUAUGUGUGAUGGAUGGAGCGGGCCAACCAGAAUGAGUAUAAUUAAUUUUCUAGUCUACUCUCCUCGUGGAACAGUGUUCCAUAAAUCCAUAGAUGCAAGUAAUGUUGAACGAAAAGAUGGAGAAUAUUACUUCAAGAUCAUGAAGGAGGUGGUUGAAGAAAUUGGCCCAAGCAAAAUUGUCCAAGUGGUGACUGAUAAUGAAGCUGCUAUUAAAUCUGGUGGCAAAAAGUUGAUGGAGAAGUUUCCAAAUUUGUAUUGGACAGCAUGCAGUGCACAUUGCAUUGAUUUAAUUUUAGAAGAUUUUGGAAAGAGGAAGAAUAUAAAGACCGUCAUUGAGCAAGGAAAAGUUAUCACCCAAUUUAUUUACAAUCAUAAUUGGGUGGUAAAUUACAUGAAGAAAUUUACUGAUGGUCGAGAUAUAAUUCGCCCCGGGAUUACUAGAUUUGCAACUAAUUUUAUUGCAUUGGAAAGUCUUCUUCGAUGUAGAACGGGGUUAAGAAACAUGUUUGAAUCCGAGCAAUGGGUAGGAAGUAAAUAUGGCCAGGCUACCAGUGGACCAGCUUAUGAAGCUAAGAAAAUUGUUCUUAGCUUGGAUAGAGAGGGAAGAAAUUUUUGGGAGAAAGCCGAGCAAAUUAUGAAAAUUCAAGAGCCAUUGCUUAAAGUGUUGAGAUUAGUGGAUGGUGACGAAAAACCAACAAUGGGAUUUAUAUAUGAAGCAAUGGAACGAGCAAAAUUGGCCAUUAAGCAAAAUUCCAGAAGUUACAUAGACUACUGGAAAAUUAUUGAUGCUCGUUGGAAUUUUCAAUUACAUCAUGAUUUGCAUGCAGCUGGUAAGAAGCACAUAAACUUAAUACUUUAAUAAUUUCUAUAUCUUAUAAAUUUUAAUAAUUUUUUUAUGAUUUGCAGGAUAUUUUUUGAAUCCUCAAUAUCAGUAUGGUCCACACGAUAUUGGAAAUGAUAGUGAAAUUAUGGCAGGCCUUAAAAAUGUUAUUCAAAGGCUAGAGAGUGAUUUGGUAAAUCAAGCCAAUGCAUUGAACCAAGUAAGUAUAUAAUAUAUAGCUAACUUGAAUAAUUUUAGUAAAUACUUUUAGCAGUAUAAUAAAGCAAAUAAUUUUUUUAUUGGUGUAGACACAACUUUAUAAGCAUAAAAUGGAGAGUUUUGGGUCCGCCUUGGCACAAAAAGCCAUUAAAUUCACUGAUCCAGGUAAAAAUAUAAGAUUUACACAUUAUGUUAUAUUUUUAGUGUUCUAAAAUAUAAAAUUAUUAUAUGUUUUAAUGCAGCUGAAUGGUGGAUACAUUAUGGUGAAAGUGCUCCUGAACUACAGAGAAUUGCAGUAAGAGUGUUGAGUCAAACUACUUCUGCAUCUAAUUGUGAAAGAAAUUGGAGCACUUUUUCACUUAUACAUACAAAGACGAGGAACAGAUUACGGUAUCAAAAAUUGCAUGCACUCGUCUUUGUUCACUACAAUAUGCGGCUGAAGUUGAGGAAUUUGAGCAGAAAGAGUCAGCAUGAGCUAGAAAAGAGUUAUAAUCCAAUUAAUUUGGAUUACAUUUUCGAGGAAGAUGAUCCACUAAAUCCUUGGUUGGAGGAAAGGGAAAGUCCUGUACUUGAUGGUGAAGAAAAUCCUUGGCUAGAGGAGGAUGAGCCCGCUCCAUCACAAUCACAACAAGUUAAUGCUCCAACUCAUGGACAUAAUAUUGGAGGCAGUGGUGAUGUUGAACCUGAAGAUUCUUUUAAACUAUCUAGUUCCAGUGAUGAUGAUGAUGGUGGUAGUGGUCAGGGUGGAAGAGGUGAAGGUCGUGGAGCUACUAGUUCAUUACAAUCACAUGAUGAUCCCUCUUCAUAUCAGAGGCAUAGUCCAUCUCCAUCUCCAUCUCCAGCUCCAGCUCCAGCUCCAACUUUGCAACAUACAUAUCACAGAUCCCGUGGUUCUGGUGGUAGCAGUGAUAAGGGAAAAGGUGUUGCACAUGGAGAGUAUUCUAUGGAUGCAGAUAAUUAUGGAUAUGGGACUUAUGGUGCAAGUGAAUCUUCAAUGGAAGCAACCUCUACUAGUGAUUAUGGAUAUAGAGGAAAUUUUCAAUGGGAAUACUCAAAUUCAUAUCCAUAUCAGUCUCCUCCAUCGUAUUCUGAUUUACCUUUGUCAGAGCAAUCAUUCUCCCACACUCAAACCCAAUCCAAUCCUAGUGAUCAAUUUGGUAUGGGUUCAUUCUUCAGCUUUGAUCCAUCACAAUACUAUCAAUAUCAUCAAGAUCAAAGCUCUCAAUCACAAAAUGAAGGUAGUGGAUCUACUCAAGAACCUGCUAGACGCUCAUUCUGGUGGUAAUUGAGGUAAGUUACUACAUAUAAUGUUUAAAAUUUAUGUAUUUUAUGUUUAUUCAAUAUAUUUGUACUUGUUUAUAAGUUGUAUAACUUAAUUUUCGUUAUAUCUUUCAAUAUAUUUUAAUUUCAUGGACUUUACAAAUUUUCUAAAAAAAUUUGAGCCGCGACAGGCCGUUACCGUUACGUUAUGACCGUUACAGGCCUGUUUCCGUUACCCGCGACCGCAAUCGCGAACGGGGCCGCGACCGCGAUUUGAAACCAUGGUUGGUACUGAGGUGGGUGAGCAAAACCUGAGGCCUGAGCGCCUCCUUGGGAUUUUCCAUACCCUCUUCUGACAUACUCACACCCAAACUUUCAUCUCUUCUUUGAUCAUCUUCCACUGUUUCCCUCACAUCCGCAGACAUCCUACCCGGAUCUAUUCUCCUCCUGUUUACAUCAAAAGACCUUCUAGGGUUCCUUCAUGUUUCUCCUCUGCUAGUUCUACUUGACCGUGCUCUUGGCAGAGCAGGGGGAAGGGCGUCUAUACCCUCAUUCUCAGGUGGAGCUCCUGUCAAUUGUGCAGAUCGACGUGAGCCUCGCAUUCUGUUUUCUGAAAAACAACAUAUAACACAUAAACGUUAGCAUCAUAUAGUUCAUGCGGAUACACAUGAACCCACAUCAUAUACAUACACAUCAUUAAUGCACAUGCAUACUAUCAUGGCAUUACACAUCAUCAUUCAUUCAUUAAGACAGGACUCUAUAUCCUAUCCUAGUGGACAUGAUUUUUUCCUAUUGUGUUUGCCCUUCUAUAUCAUCUAUGAGUCCGACACUCUAGGUCCGACCAUAUGAACCUAGGGCUCUGAUACCACUCUGUAACGACCCGGAAAUCGGACCGCUACCGGCGCUAGGAUUCAGAUCGACUUAAGGUUGCUGGAACCCGUAGCAAGCCUACUAUACAUCUUGUGUACCUGAUAAAAUCCCAUACAUGAUCAUACAUUAUAACAAAAACUUAAACAUUUCCAUGAAACCGAGCUCAACCUGUGUAUGUAUCAUACUGAAAACAUAAAACUCAUACUAGAGCACUCAUCAAAUGCUCUAGUAUGGUUAACAUCACACGCCUCAAGCUUGGUUCAAACAUAAAACAUAUUUAAAACUUUUACAUAAAUAUCAUGUUAACAGGGAUUACAAGGUAAAGAAAACUAUCAUGAAUAUUUUGAAGAAAGAACAAAAAAUCAACAAUGGAAGGGCAAGAACUCACAUUUGCCCGAAAAUGGAGAGAGAAACUGUCCCAUUUUCGGACUGGAGGCCUCUUAUAGAUGGCUGGCCAGACCACCUUCGGGGGCCGAAAGGAGAGCUCCCGCGGCUGCACCAUGUUUGGCGCCCGAACCUGGAUUUUCCCCUCCAAAGCAUUUUUCUUCAAAACUUUUUUCUUUCUUUCUUAAAACCUUAAAAAUUUUCAAAUUCAUUUUAUAAAAAAACUUAUUUUACCCUUCUAAGGGGAUUCCAGUUUCGGAAAUUCCGGAUUCCAACGGGGAUUUCAUCGGAAGGUUGAAAUUCCGACGCCAGAACUUAGCCGGGUAUUACACAAACCAUAUUGGAAUGUUUCGGCGGUUUGGUUUUAGGAAGGGAGAAUCUGAUAGUGAGAAGUGUUUGAAUUUAGUUUCAUAUCCCUUUCUACAAUUCUCUAUAAGGGCAUUAAUCAGUUCGAUUCUUAAACCAAAAUCAGAAGUUUAUAUGAAAAUAAAAUUCCAGAUUCAAAAAAAGUUUGGAAAGAAUAUAUAUGUAUAUAUAUGUUGCAAUAGAAUUUUAAACAGCAAGAUCGAGACCUCUGCCUUCUUUCUUUCUUUGUUUCUUUCUUCCUUCCUCUUUUCUUUCUUUUGCCAAUUUCUCAUGCCAAAAAGCACCAUCAGAUUUAGGGGGGUGUUUGGUUUAAUUGUUAGAUGCUGAUAGCUAAUAGGCAUUCAAAUAGCUAAAUCAAAGUAUUUGAUAAAUUUUUUAGGCAGCUGAUAUGCUUCAAAUUAGCUGCAUUUGGAAUAAGCUCAACAAUUAGAGUUAUUUCUUAUUAGUAGAUAGCUGUUUAGACUUUAUUUUUUAUUUUGACCAUAUUAACCUUAAAAAUUUUAUUAAUUAUAAUUUUAUAAAUUAAAAUUUUUAUCAAUAAAUUUUUUAAAAUUACAAGAGAUAAUAAAUAAAUUAAAAAUACUAUAAAUGAUAAUUAAAAUAGUUGUAAUAUUUCUUAAAUUUAUAAUAUUCUUUAUUAUAUUAUAAAAAUUAUAUAUAUGUAUGAAAAAAAUAUAUUUAAUUUAUUAAUUGUUAUAUAUGUUGUAUAGUAAAUUAAUAAAUUAAUAUUUAUUUUAUUAAUAUAAUGAAUUGAUAUAUAUCCUUAUUAGUUAUGUUAACAUGUUAGGCAUAGUUUACCAAACGCCUAAGAUAGUUAGAAUCAGAUAUCAUCUACAAGUUAUAAUCAGCUAAUAGUUAUAUCCACGAGUUAAACCAAACAAGCCCUUAAGCAGCAAAAUUGAUAAUCAAAAUCAACCCUCAAUACUCUUGUCUGCUGUCCGCUUCUGCUUAUUCCCAAAAUAUGGGGUCCCUCCUAAUCUCCUUCCUCAAUUUUCUUCUCUAGUCUAUCCAUUUACCUUUUUCAGUCUUUACCUUUUUCAGUCUGGUCAUGAACCCACUGCGAUGCUUACCCAAGUCAUAACUCUCCUGCCCAUAUCCUCUUUCAGUUCCAUUGGAUCUAAAACCUACAAAUUGAGCUACCUGCCAGCAACUUAAAAUUACAUAGAUGCUUUAUUAUUCUUAUCAAAUCGAGGGGAGAGACUGCCAGGAAGGAAGAUUAUUGAAAAUUAUAGUUUCUGGUGGACUAUGUUUGCAUGGCUAACAAUGGAUGGAGUAACAGAGAGUUGGAGACUGGAGAGAGUUGAGAGUGGAGAAUGAAAAAAGGAAGACUGGAAUGGGGGAAGAGAAACGUGGUUUGACUGCAGAAAGAGCAAAGAUGAGAGACCACUCAAAAUAGCGAUAGCGUUAAAAAACCAUUGUGUUUUAUAGUUUGGUUUGUUUCCGUUUUCCAUCUUCUAUUUCUAUGGAACUGAACUGAACUGAUAAGUGAAAAAAUAAAAAAAUAAAAAAAUGAAAACCAAACUGAAUCUCUAAAUUGAAUUGGUUUGUCAAUUUUUUCAGUUUAAUCUGAAUUGUGCCCACCUUCAACCACAGAUCCACAAGCAUUACUUCUCCUCUUCAACUGUUCAUUGUCGUCCCAAAAGGCGUAUUCUGAAAUUGACUUUUAUGUUUUUCAAAUGUGGUGUUUGGCUGUUUUCCGAGGCAUUUUUCAUCCAUAUGCUAAAAUCUGUUGGUUUAAUUUGAUUAUAAGUCGCACAUGUGCUCACUUCAACAUGACACUUAUAAUGGUCUUUGAUAUGUGUAUCAGUGAUCAAUCCCAUAGGUUUUGCAAUGUGUCCAGGCAACCAUUAUCAGAAACCAGAGGGAAGGAGAGAAGACUAUUUUUAGAUGCCACCUGGGAGAUUGUAAAAAAUAUGACAGUUCCUGUAACCAUACUAAAUAUUACCUCCAUGUCAGCUUUCAGAAGUGAUGCACAUGUUGGCAAGUGGAAUGACAACUCACCUAUAGCUGAUUGUAGCCACUGGUGUCUACCUGGAGUACCUGAUAUGUGGAAUGAAAUUUUGCUCUCUUUCUUGCUUUACCAACUGUAGACUCUCUCCAAUGAUUAUGUGAGUAUUACGUCUUUUGUUCUUAGUUUGACUUGGUUUUGGUUUGCAAUAUGCAUUUGCUCUGUGUGCGUGUAUUGACUGGACAAAGAUUGGUUUUUAGUCCUUCAACCCCAUUUAUCUGUUAAAUCUAAACCUGGGUUAAUACAUGAGGUGUAGAUUGAUGGCGAAGACCGGAAACUUGACGUGGAACCCUAUGGAUCAAGUUCAAGAACUCUAUGACAAGAUGGAAAAAACUCUAAAUAUCAAUAAUAAAUUCUUCUCUAUGACACCCAAUGUAAAGGACAACAAGAACACUAAUGAUUGAGGAUUAAAGAAACAAGACAAACACCGAUGAUUGAGGAUUAAAAAAACAAGACAAAUGCUAAAAUUAAAUUGAUAAGUUUAACUUGAUUCUUGAUAUAAUCGGAAGAAUGCAAUCUCACACUCUCAUAAUAACAAAGACACGCAAAUAGUAUGAAUAAUUCUAAAUUUUAAUUAAAAGUCUCCUUAUGCAGAGGACGACUGGAGUUUAUAUAGAGAAAACUAAGCAUAACCCUAAAAGACUAAGGAUAAACUAAAGCCAAACAAGGCUGGAUGAAAAUUAUAAGCUCAUAGCAAGGGCAGCACACUAAAACUCAAAAACUAGGUCCAAACAACUAAAUUAGCAAUACUAAAGCAAAUAAGAUAGCAUAAGCUUAACCCAAACAAAUGGGUUUAUAAAAUACAUUAUUAAGACCCAAAUGACAUAUAUAACACAUCCCUGAGGCUGCUCAUGAGUUGUAUACAUGCUUUGCACAUGCUCCUUAAGUGGCACAUGCAUUACACAUGUUUCUUUAAAUCUGUCAAUUUAGUUUGAUGGACUUGUACACCUUCUAAUUAGGCCCAAUGGACUUAAAUAUUAACAAAAGUCUUCCUUCGUCUUCACUUUAGGCUUUUCUUUGUAUAACUUUUAUCCAUAGGCUUGAUUAUACUCCUUAAAUCCAUAAUUGUAAGUGUUGCACUAAAUCUACCCCAUAUAAAUUGAAUCACGCCCCAAGUGGAUUUGGUUCAUAUAAAUAUGAUUUUGAACUCUUUUUAAACCUAUUUGAAUGAUAUAAAGUUACUCCACACAAUUAUUGCAAGUCUGCCUUAUUGGAUUCGUAUCAUUCUCUCUUUCUUUAGAAAAGAUUCGUCCUCGAAGCUUGCUCAUAUUCAUGUCCGGAAUGGAAAUUUUAGGAACCAAUGCAUCUUCAAAGAUCUCCUCUUAAAUAGGUGCAAAUAGCAUGAAAGUCUCAUCAUGGAUGUUCUCAUCAACAACCUGCAUAUCAAGAACAAGACAACUAGGCAUAACAAUGUUAAUCAUAGAAAGAUCAUGUAGAUGUGACCCAUUCUCCUCUACAACUUCCAAAACAGCUCGAUUCGCCUCUUUUACCUCAUCAAUCAUGUCCUCCCUAUGUCCACCAUCAAUCACAACCUCUUCUUUAAGCAAGAACUUUGCUAACUUCAUGCAUUACAAUUUCCUCUUCAAUUUCAAUUUCUAUGAAAGUUGAAAUUGAAAAUUUAGCCUUUUCUUUCUUCUUUUCUUUCUUAUCUCUUCUCUUUUCUUAGCAACAAACCUCUUCGUCUCUAACUUUGCUUCACGUAAAUUCUCUUCAUAACUUUGAAGCUCCUUAAUUAACAACAUAGCUUCUCUAAAACUAUAUGUAACUUCUUUAUCCAUCCGUUUUCUGCAAUGUUGAAUACAAUUUUUAAAGCUAUUUAUUGCAAAAUCAAGCAUAAAAUAGGAAACAUUCUCCUUAAUCUCCAUCUCAAGUUCCUCUUUAUCGUCUCCUUACUUAUCCAAACUCAUAGUUAAGAACAACAACAAAAAUCACAAGUCAAAAUAGAGUUAGUAAUAAAGCACUUUCUCACGUGUUUGCACUCUUUUACUACUCUUUGCAAUUCCUCCAAUUGAACUUCAGAAUUUAGGCCAAUCUAGCAACUCAAAAGAAAACUUAAAAAUAAAGAUUAAAACCCUAACAAUAAAAAGUAAGCUCAAAUACACUAGAAAGAAUACACAAGACAAAAAUGGAUGGUAGCACAAAGACAAAAUUAUGUACUACUUGAUUUUAUCAAUUUAAGGUGUAAUCACAAUCAAAUAACACUCUAAUAAUGUAAAAGAAACAAAGAUGGCAAAACUCAAAAAAAAAAAAAAAUCAACAAACAAGAAUUGAGAAAAGACAAUUUAGGCCAAAAUAUAAGAAUUUGAAUUACUACAAAGCAAAUUAAAUAUGAAAUCUAAAAUAUUUCUACUCAACAAAGUAAGAAAGUAAAAAAUGCUUAAACUAAAUCAGAAUUCUCAUGUAUAAUUAAUUUUUGGAGCCAAAUUAAUAAUUUCAUGCCAAAAAAAAAUUGUUUUAAGCUCUAAACAUGCACAGGUGUAUGUGUGACCAAAUAUAGCAUCAAAUUAAUUAAACAAGAGAGAGUCAAUCCAAAUAGCCCCUAAAACAAUAGAGUCCGAAAAUUUAGGGCUAAGGAAGCAAUUCUUUAGACACAAAAAACCUCAAGUCCUAAUUCAACUAGGACAAGAAAACAAAUCCAAUAAGAAGAAGGAUUCCUCAAAGAUACGUCAAGAAUUCUCUUCCUUCUUCCUUUCUUUCUCUUACUAAUUUUCUUUCUUCUUUUUUUUAAUUCUCUUUCUUCUGCUUCUUUUAAUUUUGUGUGUUUUUUUUUUUUUAUCGAAUUGAUCAAGAACGAAACUUAACUAAUUUAACAACCAAAAUUAAAUCAACAAACACUAAAACAAGUUUAAACCCUAAACAAAUUAAACUAAUACAAGACCAAAAAAUUCAGAAAUAAAAAAUGCAAGAAAAUUCAAAUUUAAAACUCUAAACUAAGAUAAAUCAAAAUUUAUCUUAACCUUUAGCUCUGAUACUAAUUGAUGCGGAACCCUAUGGAUCAAGUCUAAGAACUCUAUGACAAGAUGGAAAAAGCUCUAAAGAUCAACAGUAAACUUUCCUCUAUGGCAUUCAAUGCAAAGGACAACAAGAAUACCAAUGAUUGAGGAAUAAAGGAACAAAACAAAUGUCACAAUUGAAUUGAUAAGUUUAUCUUGAUUUUUGAUGCAAUUGGAAGAAUGCAAUCUUAGACUCUCACAAUAAUAAAAACACGCAAAUAGUAUGAAUAAUUCUGAAUUUUGAUUAAAAGUCCUCUUAUACAAAGGUGGCUGGAAUUUAUAUAGAAAAAACUAAGCAUAACCCUAAAAGACUAAGAAUAAACUAAAACCUAAAGAGCCAAACAAGGCUGGACGAAAAUUAUAAACUCAUAGCAAGGGACUACAUAUUAAAGCCCUAAAACUAGGUCCAAACAACUAAACUAGUAAUACUAAAGCAAAUAAGAUAGUAUAAAUUUAACCUAAAUAAAUAGGCUUGCAAAAUACAUCAUUAAGGUCCAAAUAACAUAUAUAACACGUCCUCCAAGACUGCUCAUGAGUUGUGCACAUGCCUUGCACAUGCUCCUUAAGUGGCACAUACAUUACACGUGUUUGUUCAAAUCUACCAAUUUAGUUUGAUGGACUUGUACACCUUCUAAUUAGGCUAAAUGGACUUACAUCUUCACAAGAGCCUUCCUUCAUCUUUACUAUAGGCUUCCAUUUGUGUAGUUUUAGCCCAUAGGUUUGAUUAUACUGCUUAAGCCCAUAAUCUUAAGCCCAUAAUUGCAAAUGUUGCACCAAAUCUGCCCCAUAUGAAUUGAAGCACGCCCCAAGUGGAUUUGGUUUAUAUAAAUAUGAUUUUAAACUCUUUUUAGACUCAUUUUGAUGAUAUAAGGUUGCUCCACACAAUUGUUGCAAGUCUGCCUUAUUGGAUCCGUAUCAAUACUCUUGAACAAAUAAAACCUUUUGUUAGUGAAGAAUUUUGGGAAAAUUUAGAGAAUUCUUGUAUUUCACUCUCUCUCUCUUUACAAUUGGUUUAUAUGACUAUUUAUACACAAAGAAUUAUAUCUAAAUAGGAAGUAAAUAAUCAAAUAAUAAUUACAGAGAUUAUUAAGGAUCCUAAUCAAAUCAAAUCAAAUCAUAUCCCUAGAAUUCAGUUAGGAUCAGCAAAUAAGUCAACACUCCCCCCCCUCAAGUUGGUGCAAAGAUGUCGCACAUGCCCAACUUGCAAAUCAAAUUAUGGUAGAUCUUGUUGUUGAGUCCUUUAGUAAACACAUCCGCAAGUUGCCCAGUAGAAGUCAUGAACUAGGCUCAAGAUACCGUCUAUUAAUUUUUCUUCAAUGAAGUGCCGAUCAAUUUCAAUGUGUUUCGUUCGGUCAUGUUGGACUGGAUUUUGUGCUAUACUUAUAGCAGCUUUAUUGUCACAAUAUAAAGUUAUCUUGUCUCUCUCGAGCAACCUCAACUCCUUCAAUAACUUCUGUAACCAUAAGAGUUCACACACCUUGGGCCAUUGCUCUGUAUUCUGCUUCAGCGCUUGACCGAGCAACAACAGUUUGUUUUUUGCUCCUCCAGGUGACAAGGUUCCCUUCCACAACUGUGCAGUAGCCAGAGGUGGAUCUCCUGUCAUCGAGAGAUUCUGCCCAAUCUGCAUCUGUAAAAGCUUCAACUUGGAGGUGACCCUGUUUGGAGUAAAGAAGCCCUUUCCUUGGCACAGACUUUAGGUAUCUUAAGAUGCGAAGUACAGCUUGCAUAUGAGUCUCGCGAGGGUCAUGCAUGAAUUGGCUGACUAAGCUAACAGACAGCAUAGGCUAUAUCCGGUCAAGUGUGUGAGAGAUAAAUGAACCUUCCUACCAAUCUCUGGUAUCUUCCAAUAUCCACGGACUCACCAGUUCCUGCUUUCAACUUGUGAUUACUUUCAAUGAGAGAUUCUGCUGGUUUACACCCCAUCAUACCAGUUUCUUCCAACAGAUCCAAAAUGUACUUUUUUUGGGAGAUGAAAAUUCCUUUUUCUGAUCUAGCCACCUCGAUACCUAGGAAAUAUUGCAGUUUUCCUAGAUCUUUGAUUUCAAAUUUCUGAGCUAACAACCUUGUUAGUUGAGUCAUUUCCUCUUUGUCAUUGCCUGUCACCACUAUAUCAUCAACAUAAACAAUAAGAAGGGUGAUCUUACCCUUGUGAUGUUUGAUAAACAGAGUGUGAUCAGCAUUGCUUUGUUGGUAACCAAAAGACAUCAUGGCUCUGCUAAACCUGUCAAACCAAGCUCUAGGAGAUGGUUUUAGCCCAUACAAAGCCUUUUUUAACCUGCACACCUUUCCUUGUAUCUUCUCAUCAGCGAAUCCAUGAGGAAUUUCUAUGAACACUUCUUCCUCUAAAUCUCCAUGGAGGAAAGCAUUCUUCACAUCAAACUGUUGCAAGUCCUAGUCCAAGUUGGCUGCAUAGGAUAACAAAACUCUGAUUGAGUUCAUUUUUGCAAUUGGGGCAAAUGUCUCUUGGUAAUCCACUUCAUAGGUUUGGGUGAAUCCUUUAGCAACCAAUCUGGCCUUAAACCGUUCAAUUGUGCCAUCAGCUUUGUGUUUCAUUGUGAACACCUAUUUACAGCCAACGAGUUUCUUCCCAGGUGGGAGAGGGACAAGCUCCUAAGUCUCAUUUUUAGCCAAUGCUUUCAUCUCUUCAAUCAUUGCUUUCUUCCACUUAGGAUCUGCAAGAGCUUUCUUCCAAUCCUGUGGAAUCGACACAGAGGAAAUAGACAAGGCAAAGGCUCUAUAGGAAGGAGAUAAGGAUUCAUAAGAAACAAAGUUAGAAAUAGGGUGUUUAGUACAAGAUCUGACCCCUUUUCUUUGUGCAAUAGGUUUAUCUAAGUCAUUGAAACAUUCAAGAGUUGUGGGGAACUCACCAGAAGAAAGAGUUGUGGGUAACUCACUUGAAGAAGAUUCAUGACUGGGUAACUCACCAGGAGAAGAUUCUUGACUCUGAGUAGACUGCAUAAUGGCUUCUUCUGCCUUGUCUCUCCUCGAAUACGUUCUCAAAUCUGGCUUGUCCAAACGACCAGUUCUCUCUCCCUGAUUAGACAUCUCCCCCUGUCUACUAGAACUCAAACUUUCUAGUUGAGCCAUAUCAUUCAGAAUCACAGAAUUCGGGAUCACCUUUUCUUGCUCAUUAUUCUCCCCCUCAAGAGGUGAGUGAGUGGUACUGAAGUAGGGUUUAGUUUCUCGGAAGGUAACAUCCUUGCUAACUAAGUAUUUCCUAGAGGGAGGAUGAUAACACUUGUAUUCCUUCUGUGUUGGAGAAUACCCAACAAACACACAUUUAAGGGCCUUGGGAUCUAAUUUUCCUGCCGUCCUAGUAUGUACAAAGCAAACACACCCAAAUACUUUUGGUGGAACAACGUAUGAAUUCUUCCCUUGUAGAACCGCCAAAGAACUCAUAAAGUCAAGGAUCUUGAGAGGCAUUAUAUUGAUAAGAUAAGCAGAUGCAAGAAUUGCAUCUCCCCAAUAUGCUUUGGGUAGAUUCAUGAUGAACAUAAGAGAUCAAGCUACCUUCAAUAGAUGCCUAUUUUUCCUCUCAGCAACGCCAUUUUGAGCACUAGUAUAAGGACAACUAGUCUGGUGUACUAUCCCAUUACUCUCCAAAUAAGCAAAAAAGCUACUAUCCAUAUAUUCUAUUCCAUUGUCAAUUCUCAAAAUUUUCACCUUAGUAUCAAAUUGAGUACAAACCAUCUUAUGAAAUGAUUGAAAACAAGAAAAGACAUCACUUUUAGCUUUAAUCAAAUAGACCAAAGUCAUUCGAGUGCAACAAUCAAUAAAGGUGACAAACCAUCGAUUACCAGACAAGGAGACAGUUUGAGUAGGCCCCCAAGCAUCAGAAUGAAUAGUCGCAAAAGGAAUUUGACUUUUAUUAUGACUCAAAGGUAGGAUGUUCUAGUGUGUUUAGCAUACUCACAAGCAUCACAAAAUAGGGAAUCAAACUGAGUUCUAGCAAACAAAUUAGGAUAAAGUUUUUCUAAGACAAAAAAUAAUGGAUGCCUUAACCGUUUGUGCCACUGUAUUAUUUCCUGAUUGACAUCCUUAUUUUCUCCAAAACAGGCUUGAGAUAUCGAAGAACUUGGAUCACCCUCCAACAUAUAUAAGCCAUCAUGCAGCCUACCAUUGCCAAUCCUCUUUCCUGUGCGAAGAUCCUGAAUAACACAAUGAUCAGGAAAGAAUUCAAUUUUACAAUUAAGGGCAUUGGUAAUAGCACUGACAGAUAAAAGGUUGACAGGAAAGUGGGGAACAUGAAGGACAUAUGAUAAUUUAAUGUUAGAUGUGCAAAUAACAGAACCUGUUCCGGAUAUGGGAGUAAAAGAGCCAUCAGCAAUUCUGACACUAUCUUUGGUUAGAGAAGGAAAAUAAUUGAGAAAGCCUUUAUUAAGAGAGGAAGCAUUACCUAACUUUACAAAGUUAGAUGUGGCACCGGAGGACGAGGAAUCAGAGUUAGGAAUCAAGACCUUUUUACCUUCUGCCAUGGUAAAGAUUUGUGAACCGUGAAAGAAUAGGAGGUACCCAAGGUUGUACACACAAGAGAGCCCAACCAAUUCACUAAAAGACCGGGUAGCGGCACAGGAAGGCUGGAAAGAUGGUCGAAAUCGUCGCCGAAGUGAUUGGAGCGGCGAAGCAGCGUCAAGCGAUUGGUCACGCGUCGGGAAAGGGAGCCGCGUGAGCCUCAUGUGCGGGCUUUUUGGACGUCGGAGCUGGGCGAUCGGCCGGCGACAGUUCUGGUGCCGGCAGUGAGAGGAGGAAAGACUCCUAGAUGGGUUAGUACCAAAAAAGGUAGAUCUAGGGUUUUGAAACCCUAAAGAGGAAAAAAUUAAAUUUGAACCCUAAAAUCAGGAAAAGGCUCUGAUACCGUGAAGAAUUUUGGGAAAAUUUAGAGAAUUCUUGUAUUUCACUCUCUUUACAAUUGGUUUAUAUGACUAUUUAUAUACAAAGAAUUAUAUCUAAACAGAAAGUAAAUAAUCAAAUAAUAAUUACAGAGACAAUUAAGGAUCCUAAUAAAAUCAAAUCAAAUCAUAUCUCUAAAAUUAGUUAGGAUCAGCAAAUAAGUCAACAGUUAGCAUACCCUUUCUAAUAUACAAGAUAUUUACACAUGGAGAAAGAAAAAUAUUGAAUGCAAGACCAAGUCAAAGUCACUAAUGCAGUUGAGAAAAACUAGCUUCAUGUGUUGUUACUACCUAUGAUAUUCUACUUGCUAGUAGUGUUGCCUCCUAUAUAUUAAUGGUGCUGCUAGUGGUUGAUGGUGCUGUUAGUGGUGUGCUAUUAGUAGUGGUGUUAGUGUUAUGCUUUAUUUUCUUCCACUUUUCUUGGUUGUAGGAGGGUGAUUCUCUAUGUUUUGAUCAUGCUAAUAACUUCCAUUGUUUAUAGGAAGAGAUUAUCUCUUCCUUUUGUAUUUAAGUUCAGUUGAGAUAAUAAAGGAGACAUGAUUGAUUUGCCAAAAAUUGUCGAGUACUUAACUCUAUAGAUUUUCAAGUUUUCUCUUAACGAGCUUGUACAACCUUCAUCAUGGGUCAAAAAAGAAACAAACACUUUCUUCUUCAAUCAUUGAUCCAUUAAUUCCUCAAUCUCGUCCCAUAACUCGAUCCAUUUCUAAGGACCCUAACACCUUUCUCUAUAUAGAAGCAAUAAUUUACUGCCAUCGUUAACCUUUUAGUUGUCAUUGCAAUAAAUAUUUAUAUUUUAUUGAAAGAUGAUGGAAUUAGAACAACAUUUUGAAUUGCUUCUCUCUCAUUGUUGCAGAUUCAAAAACACAAAUCCAGUUAAUUGCUGACACCUGCAGAAGAAGCUGUGAACCUCUGAUCUGCAAGCAAUGGUUGUCUCAAUUGCCAAACCAGAACAAUGGAGUAGCUGGUUGGAUUCUCUCUCCAUUGUCACUUGGCAUCUUAAGCAAUUGCUGGAAGUAUCCCACGAAAGUUGAGUUUGCAUGGCUUUGAGGAAGCAUACAGUUUUUUUAAGAGAUGCAUCCGUUCUUUCAUUCUUUAUGCAAUUGUUCAUUACGUGUGAAGGCUUUGUCUUCAAUAUGUAUAAAUCUUGUCCAUUUAUUCUUAUGAUAAAAACUUUGGUGAAUAUGAAAUAUUGACAAAAGGAAAAGGAAAAAUGAAUAAGAAAUAACAGUAUCAUCUUUGUAUUUGUGUACUUUUAUACUGUUGCUUGGGAAUAAAUAUGUAUUGAACUGUGUUCAAUGAACAUUUCUACCCUUCAAUUCUAUAGGAUGAGAGACAAAAAUCAGUAGCAGCACCAACCUCAUCUAAUUAGAUCAGCUUAGGUCUUUAAUAAGAACAAUUCCACCUAAGUAUGAUUAGACUAAAGGUAUCAGAUCUUAGGGAAAGUCCUCUAUGGAUAGGUUAUCGCUUGAUAUUGGUGUCAUUAAAUCGUCAAGUAGUGAAGCCAUUAGCACAUUAAAAGAAAGUGCAUACCUAGAACGGCUUUAUAUGAAUCUAUGUAGUGGAGUCCAUAUAUUUACAUUAUAAAUCUAUGUAGACCUAAUGCAGAUAAGAAUGGCCCCAAAUUAAAUGCUAUAAUAUUUUAGCAUACGCACAUUUUGGAUAACAUUUAAUUAUAUUUAUUAUUAAUCUAUAUAGUUCACUAUUUUGAUCUUAACAAGAUGUCUCUUUUAGUCAAAGUAUAGAUUUUGGGGAUUGAAUUUUUACAGGUAUCUGACCCAAUUCAACAUUAAUUGGAUAGAUUUUGAUAGCAUAUAAUUGAGUUUAAGUUUCAUAAAUAAGAAAAAUUAUUGCAUGCAUCUAGGUAUACAAAUAUUGUAUAUCCAACCAAUUUAAAAUUAGAAUAUCAUAUUAAUAUGUGGAUUACAUUUUCUCUAAUUUUAUAUAAGGUAUCAAUUUUAGAUUGGAUCGGUAUAUAGAUCUAGCUGUGUGUAAGAAUUUUCCCAUAAAUAAUAUCCAUGUUCGAUUGGGGUUGGGUUUUUGUAUAUUGAAUAAUCAGUACUAUAUACAUAAAUAGUUAAAUAUACUUUUUAUAUUUUAGGUCUAUUGGUCCAAAAAAUUCAAACUUUACUAGUUUUCAUAUUUAUAGCCUAAACUUUUAAUUUUGAAUCAAAAAACUCCAACUUUUAAAUUAGUUCAUAUAACACACCAUGUAUCAUUAUUUUUACCAUAUAAAUAGUUUAAUUAUCUUGAAUUAAACUUUGAUUAAGACCUUAAACCCCUAAUUAUCUAAAAAGAUUUUUAUUUAAGUAUAAGAGAAUUAAGUAUUUUAAUUAUAUAAUCUAAGAAUUUCAUAUAAUUAAUAGCUUAGAAUCUUAAUUACGGUUGAAUUCUAGUUAGUCAAAUUGCUUAUGCGAUGAAAAUAAUGACAUAUGACAUAUUGUGUAAGUUAAUUUAAAUUUGGUUAAAAUUAAUUUAAAAAGUUGCUAUAAUUACAAUAAAUUCAAAAGUUGAGGCUUUAUAUUCAAAAUUAAAAGUUUAGGCUAUAAAUGUGAAAAUCAGCAAAGUUGUUGUCUUUUUUAGCCAAUGAGCCUGUAUUUUAUAAUAACAUUUAUAUCUUUUAUAUAUAUGGUAGAUGGAUGCCACUUAAAAGAACCUUAUGAUGGAGUAUUAGUAGUUGCCAUUGCUAUUGAUGGAAAUAAUGGGGUUAUCCCAUUAGCAAUAGGCAUUGUUAAAGUGGAGUGUAGAUUAAGUUGGGAUUUCUUUAUGUCCUAUUUACAAGAUUGUAUUGGUAGCGGUAAUAACGAUAAGCUGUACAAAUUUAUGAGUGAUCACCAAAAGUUAAACUCACUUUCAUUCAUUGUUAAUGUAGUAAAAUAUUAUUUGACUACUUCAAUCAUUAUUCUUUAUUCUUUGUAGCGUAUUGUUGAAUCCGUUAACAUUCACUUUCUCACUGUAUGUCAUCGCUUCUGUGCAAGACACUUGUUUAACAACUUCAAAUGGCAAUUCUGAAGAUUAGGAUUGAAGAAACAAUUUUGGGCAGCGGCUAAAACAACACAUGGGUAUCACUUCUGGAAAGUUAUGCGAGAAAUAAGAAAAUUGAAAGAUGGUGCAGCUUAUAACUGGUUAAUGCAGUUUUUAUUAAGUCAGUUGUAUCGCCAUUCAUUUUGGGAAGAUGCAAAGAUAGAUCACCUCACAAACAAUAUGACUGAACCAUUAAAUAGUUGAAUAAUGAAAAUAAGAGGAUAGCCUAUAGUAUCACUACUUGAAGCUUUUCGGCAAAAGAGUAUGGUGAGAAUGCACAAAAGUAUGCAAAUGCAUGUAAUUGGGAUGAGACACUUACACCAAAAGUAAAGAACUCCCUUAAUACAAUUAUAUAGGAGAGUCGACAUUGCCGUUUGUUGCCGGGGAGAAAUGACGAGUUUAAGGUUCAUGAUGGACCUUUAAAAUUUGCAGUCAAACUGCAACAAAAGACUUGUUCUUGCAAUUGGUGGACAAUAGUAGCCUCCCUUGUAAACAUGUUACUUUGUGCAUGGGGUAAAGAGAGGCAACAUUGAAGAUUAUUGUAAUUCUUAUUAUAUUUUCUCAACUUAUAUGCAAGUGUAUGAGGGGGUAAUUCAUCUGGUGCCUGAUAAAGAAUUAGAACUACCUUCUGAUGAGCAAUGCAUGAAUUCUCCUCCAUUGAAGAGGUUACCUGGUAGACCUCAUAAAGUCAGGAGAAGGGAAGAGGGUGAAGGUGGACCUUCUUUUAAACGAAAAACUGUAACGACCCGAAAAUCGGACCGCUACCGGCGCUAGGAUCCAGAUCGGCUUAAGGCCGCCGGGACCCGUAGCAAGCCUGACAUGAAACCUGUAAACCUGUAUAAUCCCAUACAUGAUCAACAACAUGCAUAAAAAAAUUUAAAACUUUUCUUUCCAUAUACAUCAACCAAACUCAACCUGUACAUAUGCAUUAACAUAACAUUGAUCCCUCUGUGGGAUCUCAUCUGUGCCUUUCUUUCCAUAUACAUCAACCAAACUCAACCUGUACAUAUGCAUUAACAUAACAUUGAUCCCUCUGUGGGAUCUCAUCUGUGCCCCCAAUGGGUGACAUAACAUAUGCUGAGUUGGUUUACAUAAACAUCAUAAAAAUCUCUAAGAUCAUGUAAUAAAAGGGAUAACAACCAUCUAUGGUCAAGUACACCUCUAACAUCCAUAUACAUCAUCUCAUUACACAACUAUACUGAUUAAGACUUUACAUUACAAUUUGAUCAUGUCCAUUGCUAGCUAUUACAUAAACAAAACUUCAUUAUUCUAUCCGGACUCCUGCUCUAUCCUGUACCUGCAAGCCUGGGGGUAAAGGGAGAAGGGUGAGCUAAAAGCCCAGUGAGCAGAACUGUAAAACAUAUUAACACUAUGCUCUAUGAAAUGCAUCAUAACACAGACAAUUCACAUAAGGGUUGGGUGAACUUGUCACCAAUUAGUCCAAGCUAACUCUGUGCCAGGCCGUAGCAUGGGGUCCUGGUCUUCCUGUCAUAACAUACAUUACUUACCAUUGCCCCAGGGCCUCCUCUGGGCUCCUGGUCUUCGAGUCCCAUAACCGUGCCAGGCCGUAGAAUGGGAUCCUGGUCUUUCCUUACUCUGUGCCAGGCCGUAGAAUGAGGUCCUGGUCUUCCUGUCAUGGACGAAUUGGGUCAUCCAAUAUUCACCCACAUCAACAACAAUCGAUGUAAUGCAGCAUAUUCGUGAAAACUAAUGCAAUCAUCCUAUUGCAUAAUCAUGAUGCAUGAAACAUGAUAAAACAUUCAAUUUCUCAAUUUAAAAGAUUAAGUUUAGUUCCACUCACCUCUGGCUGACUCUGACAACACCGAAGCAGCUGAACUCACUGCUGGGGUCCUCGGUUCCUCGGGUCCGAACCUACACAGGUGGACUCAAAUGAGGGACCAAACACACCUGAACAUAACCAUAAACUACUCCCCAAAAACCCCCUAGAACAUCGUGAAACAACCAUAAAAAAACAUGCAAAAGAGGCCUGGACAGGGCACUUUCGGCGGCAGGUUCAGCGGCCGAAAGUCCCUCCAGAGCCGAAAGUCAGGCGGGUUCGGCGGCACCUUCGGCGGCCGAAACUCCCAGACAGAGACGAAACUCAUGCAUGUUCGGUGGCACUUUCGGCGGCCGAAACUGCCAGACAGAGACGAAAGUCUCCUUUCGGGGGCAAGCUUCAGCAGCCGAAAGGCUGCCUCCCCAGCCAUGUUCGGCGGCCGAAAGUCCUUCGGCUGCCGAACCUGGUUUCUGGCAAAGGGCAGAAACUUGGCUCCCUUUUGCUCAUUUCGCCUCCAAACCUUCCAAACAUGCAUCAAACCUAUUCUACAACACACAAACACAAGCAUACAUGUUCCUAGGGGCCUCAAACUAUCAUAAACCCCAUCUACAACACAUUAAGUAUCCACAUUGCUAAAGAACACACAUUUAUACCCAUAAACAUAACCAUAACCUAAACAUGCAUUCUAACCCAUAGAUCUUGCAUAAAACUUAUUUAAAACAUAAAACGAGCUCAAGAUCGGCUCUUACCUCUUGAAGAUCGAGAGAGACGACCAAAAACUCGGAGUUGGGAGAGAUUGGGUUCUUGAACCUCCAAGCUCCAAAACUUUGCUCAAAAGCUCAAAUCUUCAAAACAAAGUUAAAACAAAUGAAAAUCUCGAAAGAUCUAGAGGAAAGACGUCAAGGAUGGGUGAGAGACGGCGGAGACUCACCUUGGCCGAAAAGGGGAAGAAAGCUCGCCCGUUUUCGGCUAAGGGACCCUUUUAUAGUGGCUGGCCAGACCACGUUCGGGGGCCGAAUGUGCCUCCGCAUGCAUGCCAUGUUCGGCGGGCGAACUUGAGGUUCGGCGGCUGAACCUAGACUUCCCUCACUUAUGCUUUCGGGGGCCUAAAGCACACCCGAAACGCAUGCAUGUUCGGCGGCCGAACUUGAGGUUCGGCGGCCGAACCUGAGUUUUCCUCCAAUGCUAUUUUCAUGCAAAAACUCAUUUUCUUUCAUGCUUAAAACAUAAAACACAUUAAAACAUUUUAUGAAAACAUGGUUUUACCCUUCUAGAGGCUUCCGACAUCCGAGAUUCCACCGGACGGUAGGAAUUCCGAUACCGGAGUCUAGCCGGGUAUUACAAAAACGAUAUGUUCAAAUUGCAUAGAGUUUGAGCAUAAUAAACACACGUCAAAGGGUACUUGUUCAUACCAUUGUAUGUUAAAUUAAUUUAACUUAAUUUAUUUUAUAAUUAUAAACAAAUUAUCUUUUGUAAUUAUACAUACUGAUAUUAUUUGUUAAAAUUGCAGCAAUCGACACAACGAAAUAUGGAUAGUCAAGAAAGAAAUGGUCUAUGUUUUCCAAUAUUUAUGUAGUUGUUGUAUUCAAAUAACAUAUUUAUAUUAAAUUCGCUCAUUUAUAUGUUCCAUUUAAACAGGGAACAUAAGUUAAUGCAGAUACAAGCAAUCGUUAGAUAAACAAAGUGACAAUAGUUAGUUGGCAUGAUGUCUUUAUGAUCUUUAUAUUUAUUAUGAAGGGUUCUAUGUAGAAAAUAAAUGAAUAUAAGUUAAUUCUAUGUAGAAAAUAAAUGAAUAUAUAUCUAACUUACAUAAAUUGUGGAUUUGCAUAUACUUUUUGAACUUUUUGAAACUUUUUAUUAAUCAUAAAUAUGGACCGUUUGAAGAUUUGAAGGUUUUUGUAGAUUUCAUGGCAAAGAAAUUGAUAUGAAGCUAAUUUGCAAUAGCUAUAUGUGCAGCUCACUUUUUGAUACAUUUUGGAUCUUUUUUGUGUGAUGUGGAUAUGGUGGAUAUUAUUAAAAUUAUUUUGUGCAAUAUGAACAGUUUUAUAUGUAAACACUCCCUUUGUAGGAGUAUAGUUAGUAUAUGUGCAAAUAUCAUGGUUUGUAUAUUUAAGACAUAUUUUUUAUAAUAAAUUACAUUAACCUCUGUUAACUAUAUAGAGCAUGCUCUUCCUUAUCUAUUUUGUAUGAUUCAAGCAAGGAGAAGUGUCAUUGACUUUCAAAUAUAUCUAUAUUAUACUUGUUUAUACAUAGCAAUUCAGUCCCUAUAUUAUUAAGAUAUUAAUAUAGUAGUCCCUCCAUUUUAAUUUUAUUAAACAAAUUGAUCUGUUGAUUUUCAUGUUCAUAUUAAAUAUGCCCCUAAAUUUAUAUAUUGUAUAAUAAUUUAGCCCCUCCUUUUAAAUAUGUUAUUCUUUCAAAAUAAUAUAACCAUAAAAGAUUAGUUAAGCUACUUUCAGUACAAAAGGCAAAAAUCCAUAUCAACAAUCAUAGAAUAAGUAUAUAGCCAAUUAUUCAUUUAAUUACUUAAAACCUAUUCACACUAAAAUACAGGGAACUUUUCAUAUGACCAACUCCUGACAAAAGGCACUACUGAUGGUACGUAAUCUAUAAUAAAAGAUCCUCAAAAUGUCCUUAACUGACAAUAUCAUUAACCCAUUACAACAAUCAACAACAUAAGAAGGAUAAAAAAAACCCAACACCCACAAUUAAUGCAACCAGCACCUUCAAGUCACCCACACAUGCUUCAAUAGCAUUCAACUGCAAUAAUAUCAUCUUGUUUUCUUGCUUGAAACUUAGAACUUCAUCCAUCAAUUCAAUAAUUUCUCUACCAUAAUUCAUUUGCCUAACACCAUAUUUCACAGUUUCUUUACUUGUUGAAAACUUACUAACAGCAACACACCAUCAAAGAAAAAUGUCGCAUUUGUUAUCUCGGCAAGCAUAAUAUAAGCAAUUCUUAUUAUUGUCACUUUCAGAUAUUUUGACAGUUGCCAUUUUUUCAUAUUUGCAGUUUAUAUUCAAGUAUCUACCUUCCCAAUCGAAUAGUGAUGAAGACCCGCAUGUUAUCGACAUUUUCAGCUAAAAGAAGAUGAAAAUGAAAGAAGAUGAAAAGACAUGGAAAAUCAACCAAAAUCAAGAAAAAAAAAGAAGGAAUAACAUUUACCUGACAAAUAAAGCAAACGUUCAAUAGAGAAAAAGAUGAAAUUUCUGGUGUUUAUUACCCUUAUACACAUAAUGGGUAUUAGAGGGAAGCAUCAGCACCUUCCCAUCACUUUGAAAGGUAUUUUAGGCAAUAAAAAUUACAUGUUCAUUGAUAAUAGUCGACUCAUAAUAAAAUAUUUUUUUUCAUGGGAGGUACCAUUUUAUUAGAUGAAAAUAAAAGUCAAGAAUUAAAUUGUUACACAAAAUUUAAUGAAAAACGAGUUUGUGAAUUUUGCAAAUUUCAAAGAUGUUUCUAUAAAUUAUCCUAUUAUUUUUUAAUUGAAAAACAGCAAGAAAACAUUAUUUUUAUUAUUAAUAAAAACUGUAGAAAAACAUUUUAAAGUUAUUUUUUAAAUUAUAGUUAAAUGUUAGAAAAUUAAAAAACCAAUUUUCCAAUUAAAAAAUUGAAAAACUGACGUGAAUAUAAAACUCUAUUUUCCAAUUUGUUUAAAAAAAAUUUCUACAUGAAAACAGGCUCAUAGUUUUUCUACCUCUAGGAUUCCCUGAUUCAUUCUAUUAUCUCUCAUUCGGCGAUCAAUUAAACAUCCACAAAACUGACUGGUGCUAGUAUUUGUGAAAGAAGCCUAUCUCAUUGAAUGGGUUAUUGGUUAUACAAAGUUUUAACAAGUGAGCAAGAGAACACACAAGAUCAUAUUCUCUAAUAAUUACAACUUCAAAAAUUUGGCUGCUGUACAUUCACAUUUCCACUCAAAUUCUCAAGUAAAGCAGCAUCUUGGCCUGACCUGACUUCCACUACAAAUUUUACAAGAACCAGUCCUGUUAGAAUCAACAUAUGAAUACAUAAUUCAGUCAAUAUAAAAAUAAAUGAGAUGUGUUUGUGUACCAAUUAUAAAAAUUAAAGAGUGAAAAAAAAAACCUAGUUUAACACUAGGAUGUGCGGGUUACUUUCUAACAUAUAUUCUCACAAGUAAAACAAUUACAAAAGGAACAAAAAGUACAUAUACCAAGGAGUGAACGGAAAAGAAUGCUCCAACUCUAGUGUGAAUGACAGCAUUUCUAACCUUAGCAAUGAAAAGUGGUGUCCACAAAUCAUACAUUUCACAUUUGAAAAAAAAAAUAAUGAUAACAAUUGAUGACCAUCCUGUAAAAUAUUAACAUUAAAAUAUGGACUUACCAAAAAUUUAACAAUAAAUUUUUAUCAGAACAAUUAUUUUGGAUCGAUUGCCAUAGGGGUGAUUCGUCUCUUGGCAGGUUUAUUUGAGAUAGGAAUACUAAUUGAGCUAGGGGAUGCCUGUUUCCCUUCAUUCUUCUCCACAUCUGUCUUUUUGCUAUUCUCUGCUAUGGAACCAGCAUCUGCAGGUGUUUCGAUCACUAUUUCCUCUCGUUUGUCAAUAAUAGGGCUUUUAUUCUCAUGAACCAGGUCUUUCUUGUGCUCUGCAGCAGAUACUAAAAGAAUAUUUAAGGGUCGUAAGUGCAGAAGAAAACUGAUGUACAAACAAGAAAGAUAUAAAUCAAUAAUAACAGCAAACCUGCUAAGGGGAUGGGCAAUCCCAGUUCAUUGGUUUCAAAUUCUACCAAAGUACAAUAACCAUCUUGAGAAGAUACAGCCAAAUACUGGGCACUCAAUGACCUUAGAGAAAAAAAUGGGAAUGAAUUUUUGAUAUUUUAAUCAUCCAAAGGAUAGGCAUUGAAGUAGAAAAAAUUUCAUGAGAACCAAAGCCUUUUGUCUUAUGUAUUAGUUUUAUGAAGAGAAAGAUGCAGGCAAAAAUCUUGUUGCAAUUCUGUUGCAUUUUCUUGUCUACUAUGAAACUUCUGUUAACAUUACAACAGGAGACAAUAGAUAUAGAAGCAAAUUUUUUCUACUCAUAUCAGUCUUAUUAUUACUUUCUUUUUUUUUUUUGUUGGGGGGUGGGGGGUGUUGGGUCUGGGGGAGAGGAGGAGUAUAAAGGUAUGUUUCUAUCGAAUUUAUAAUUCUUCUUUUUCUUCUUCAUUUUUAAUUCUUAGGAGUUAGGAGGGUGAGUACCUAUCUAAAUCAUAAAACUCACCAGGCAAUAUCAGUUAUGGCUGCAUAGUGAAGACCGGCCAAGAUUGCUAUUGGAGGAGCACUUUCUGUAUCAUAGAUAUACAAGGAGUUUAAAGUAGCCACUGCAAAAAUUAGGCGAUACGGAAGCUUGAAGAAACCAGCUGCACAAGUCCAUAAAGGCAAAUAGGUUAAACAUCACACUUUUGAUCAGCUAUAAUCCAUUCCAUAAAACAAACAGAAUGGAUACCUGAGUCCGAUUCCCUCAGGCUAAAAGCCAUGGGGCAAAAUCGAACAGCUACGACAGGUUUACUAGCACCAGGGAGCAUUAAAGCAGGCCUGCAUAUCACAAAAAUUGAAAAAGAAAAUGAAUCCGAGAUAAAGUAAGUUUCCUUAAUUUAGUUCAUUAUUUGAAAUUUUGAAUACAUUUUCAAGUGCUAAAUGUUAGAAAACCAUAACAAGGAAUUAUAUUAGCUCAUUCUGCAUUUACAGAAAUUGGAUUUUAUUCUGAUAGAUGAGACUUCAAAACUUGACUGUGGGAUGCCAAUACAAAUAAAUACUCAGUUCAAUUGCACGUCUUACCUUGAGAAAUCCUUCCUGGAAAAUGCAUAAGCAGUAUUUACUGCAUCUGAUGCAGGUGGUAUUUUGUGAGAACCUGCAAUGCCAAAUUUGUUUCAAGAGUAAAUAACACCAAAAGGAAAAUAUAAUCAUAUUGCAUAUACAGCCAUAAAUAGAAAAGCUAUAGACGUUUUAGACUCCAGAUUAGGUUAUGACAAUUAGAUAAUUACUAAUACUGAAUCCAUAUCAACAAAUUUAGAACUUCUUACCUAACCAUCCUAGUAAUAAAAUAAAAUGAAGAAAACAAGAAGAGGAAAUUGGCAUCUCUGCUAUGACCUACCACAUCAACCAAGUUCAUAUACCAUAUGCUCAACGUUUAAAAUCACAUUCCAAAUACUAGAAAAUAAAUAAAAAAAAUGGAAGAGGAAAUUAGCAUCUCCACAAUCACAUCAAACAGCUUCAUAAAUCAUAUGCUCAAGUUUAAAGCAAUCCCACAGAAUCAUAUUGCAAAUCCUAGCAAUCCACCCAGACAAGCAAGAAAAUAAUCAGAAAAAUGAAGGUUCAACAAAAUAUAUAUCGAUUCUGAGACUAGUCAUCACCAUAAGAUUGUUUGCAAUUGCAGGAAACAGAAUAGGAUCCCUUUUUUUGGUGAAGUUAAAAGUAAAGUUAAACAACAAAAUCAUUUUCCCAGAAAAGAUAAAGUUACAGCUUAAGGUUAUAUAAGCAAGAAUAACAAUACUGCUCAUGAAAAUAGGAGAAGUAGGUGUGUAAUAAAGCAAUAGAAAAAGUAUCAUUAAUGACUUCUUAAUAGAUCGGACAUUAUUCUUGGGUCAGUACCUGCGGGCACAAGUAAAAAUGAUCCGUCAGGUGACCAUGCUAAUCUUCGGAAGAAAGAUGGCAACGUUUCAUCAUGAAAGAGAUGGUUUUUUGAAGACUGCAUCUCAAAACAUGCAUGAGGUUUAUAACAGGUAACAAAACCAUCUAUAAUCUGCAGCAAAUGAAUAUAAUCAUGUAAUUCCCACCUUAGAAUCAUCUGCAGACUGGUGCUCUGUCUUUGCAAUGACAUGUUGACAAACAUAAUUCAUCUUCUCAACAGCUUUUGUUUUUAACUGAGGCUUGUUCAUAUAAACUCGGCAAGUUCUAUCUGAACUAAGAGAAGCAACAUACUUGGUCAACGGAUCCCAAGCCACACCUUGAACAUAAUGGAAAUGACUAUCCAAUAACUGAUGCACAGAACCUGAAGAAGAAGAAGAAGAAGAAAAGACAAUACAAGGGAAAGGAAAAAAGAGGAAUCAGAAAAUCCACAACCAAAACACUCUAAUUAAUCUGCACAAAGGUCUUUAUUGUCUUUCUUGCCUUUGUUAACAUCCCAUAUGAUGCAAGAAUUAUCAACUGAUCCAGAGAUCAAAAAUGCACCAUCAGGAGACCAUUGCAGAUCCAAAAUGUCUUUGCGAUGAAAGCUGGCCCAAAAGAAGGUAAAAACAGAUAUUGAAACCAAAAUACAUACAGUCAAAGAUGAAGAUAAAUUACCAGUGCUCGUAGUGCGCAAUAGAUACAAAUGUGUUCAAGAAUCUUGGGUUUGACUUGAUAACAAGUGAAUGUUGGCCAAAACACCAUGCCCCCCCCCCCCACACACACACAAAAAAAGAAAUAACAAUAAUAAUUGUUAUUGUUAUUAUUAUUAUUAUUAUUCAUGUUUACUUCUUAUGGUUUGAUCUCAACAAAGACAAAGUAGUGUUCUUUGUAUUGAAUACUGGUGUAAUAAAUAUUACAUUAUUCCUCUAAAUUCAAUCAGUAUGACAGAUUACAUGUGAAUUCAACUUUAGGAUCAUAUCAAAACCAUAAAGGUAAAUCACAUCAUGAUCCAAAUUUGACCGCUCAAAUUAACAGGCUCAUAUUUGAUUAGCAUAUGGCCAGGCUGCAGGUAGCUGCCUAAUAAUACAUUUAAAGAAAAGAGCUUACGAUAAAUUCUUGAGAACUUUCCAUGUUUGACCAGUUUCUGUAGAGUGUAACUUCCAUACAAUCAACUCCCCACCUGCACAGAGAUUAUAUUUAUGUAUUGUCCAAAUUGCCUAGAUAGUUAUCUCCGAAAAUUGACUGGCUAUAUUUUAAACUGGAACGACAAAAAGCUGCUGUAACUUAAGACAUACCAUCGGCACCGGAGGCAAGUAGAUCUCCUGCAUUGUAUGAAGAGUUGCAUUAUUUGAAAUGAAGAAAGAAAAGGAGUUAUAAUAAAGAUGAAGUAAGCAAGAUUACUGAAGUAUUUUAUGGAAGAUACAGUGAGUCGGUCCCUCUAUGUGGAUACACUAAUACUAGAGAAAUAGUACAUAUAGAAGACUAAGUUCAGAAGACAAGGGAUUGGAAAUUUGGAAUGGUGCCAAAUUGCCUUUAACCCACAGAACAAGAUAAAUGUGCUUUCUAUCAUACAGUAGUGGCUAACAUGCUGUCCUAUCACACACUAAAAAAUUCAAUCACUAACAAAUUGCAAUCAAAUGGGAUCAUUAAGGUAGGAUUUAUCUCCUCAUACUUUAUUAGAACUCAUGAAGAACAACCCGUGUUAGCUCAAUACUUAAUGCAACCAGGUGACUUGCUAGCUCAUUACCUAAUGCAACCAGGUCAAUCACCCACUUUGGAUGCAAUGUGCACAUAAUGCGCAAUUUAUAAACCAAUAUUAAUUUCUUAAUGGUUCCCUCACAAAAGUAUUAAUAAAGUAGGGGAAGAAAUAUUAUCCAAAAAUCCUAUUUUUAGCAGAUAAAAUGCUAGCUGAGGAUUGAGAAGGAUUACAGAAAAGGUUUGAAUAGGUAUCACCAGAAAGCUAGUAAGUUGAUAUCAGUACCAAACACAAGGAUACUCUUUUAUUUCGUUCAUUUUGUGAGAGCGGUUAUUUGUGCAUUUGAAAACAUCACAUAACACCUAAGUUAAGAACUUGGCAGUCCUACAACAAGAAAACAUGAUAGGAUAAAAAUAUCAGUUUCCCAUUUUAGCAUAAUCUAUACAUAUCAAAGUUAACUAAACAAUAAUAUUAAAAGCUUUGAGAUUAUGAUAUCUGAUUUAUAUAAAAAAAGCGUUAUUGUCAUUUAAAUAAGGAUAAUGAUUUAAAUGAAAACACACAAACCCAAAGAAGUGGUAAGUGGUACUAUAGUAUGCCACCUACAUUUAAUUAGCCCACAAAUUUUUCAUCUGGUAGUAAUUACUUGUUCUAAAAAAGAAAAGAAGAAAUAAAUUAAGGAUCGAAAUUUUAAUACCGGACUUGGAGAAACGAAGAGUAUUCACAGCAGAACAAUGGUGGGAAAGGCUAUUUUGAUAAGUAGAUGUUGGGAUUUUUUUCUGCGCUUCACCUGAAUUUAUUAACCAAAGCUGAAAUUUCCAUCAUAGCAAAAAUAGCAGUUAGUGCAAAAUUACUAUGGCUACAAAGGUUAUAAUAAUUUUGGAAGUUUGAACUCCAUUCCACCAAAUUGAAUUAUUUUAACAUAACAGAAAACUCAAGAAAAAAAAAAAAGAACCUUUAUAUGGCCAAUUUCGAAAAAUAUAUAUAUUCGGGAUAAUUUUUUAUUUUGGAGAAAAAAAUUCCAAACCCGCACUUUAAUUCCAUUAAGGCAAAUGCUUAUCGAUUACUAACAGCAGGAAAAAAAAAUCACAUACGAAAAAUAAAAUGGCACAAGUAUGCAAAAUUAAACCAUGAAAUCUGCUAGGAAUUAUGAUUUUAUAGUACCUUGAUGUCGAAGUCGGCGCCGCCGGUGGCGAGGAGACCGGAAAUGGGGUGAAAGUCUAGGGUUAGGACAGGUUUUGUGCCAUGCCAAUUGAUCUGAACAGUUCCUCCCUUCAUUUUCGCCUCCCUUCUUGUCAGAUCGUUUCUUCCUUGUUUGGUCUCUAGGAAAGUUGAGGAAAACUUUUGUAGUUGCUUUGAAGGGGGCGGGAGCAACAGAGAGAAAUGAAUAUCCGGCACUGGCGGGCUCUUGCUUUAGUUUGGCGGGAAAAGAACGAGCAAAUGGAGCCGAUGAUAGUGAAUUGCAAGUUGGGCCCACUCGGCCCACAGUUUUAUUACAAAGUUGAGCACAAGUUUUUUUUAAAAAAAUAAAUAAAUAGGACUAAAACAAUAAAAGCUAGACAGAACAAAGAUGAAGGAUAAGCCACUGCAUAAUCGCGCGCUAGCCAUGAUUUCACUUCGUGUGGAGGGAGAACAAGGCAGAAAAUCUAAGGAAUCUGCUAAAUUUAGAUUAAAUCUGAAUCACUCCAAAAAAUAUUUUAAAAAUAAAAGUGUUUAUAACCAUACAAAAGGCACGUUAUCGAUUUUCACAAUCAACAUAGCAUUCAACACAUGGAGGAGUGUCUGUAGCCAUAUAAGUAGCACAUUAUCCAUUUUUAUAACUAACGCGGCAUUCAACACACUUUUCAAUUUAGAUGAGAUCUAAAUUGCUCUAAAAAGUGGUUUAAAAGGGAGGAGUGCCUAUGACUUUAUAACGGACAUAUUUGAAAUAGACCAAUUCAUCUCAAAAAUUAAAAUAAGGAUGAAGAGUGUCUAUGACUCAUAUAAAGAGCACGUUAUCCCUUUUCACAAUUAAUCCGAGAUUCAACAGAGUUAUAGUAUUUUUUUAUUUUAAAUAAAAAUGAGCAUGAUGAUUAUAAAAACUGUUUGAAAAAAAAAAUCAAUACAUGUUUUUUAUUAAUAUCUAAAGGUGAAGUCGCCUUUCAAAUAAUUUUUAUAUCUUUUUCUAAUAAAAUAAGUUAAUUGAAGGAUUUAAAUAGAUAUGGGUAAAAUAGGAGAAAAAAAAAUAAAUUUUAGUUUUUCAUAAUUAUUUUAUCUCCAUUUUAGAGAAAAAAUAAAAAAAAGUAGGAGAAAAUAAAAAAAUAUAUACUUUUUAAUAAAAUUACAUUUUUAUCUUUUAUAUCUAUUAACAUUUCUUUCCUUCACGUUUUUAUUUUUUUAAUUAUCCAAAUACACGGGGAGAAAGUAAACGAGAAAAAAUAAUUAAAAACAUAUAUGUCAAUGGAGACGCUAUCCAUACCACUAGAUUUUAGUUAAUGGAAGGCAGCAAAUUUAAUGCACGCCUUAUUCGUGAUCCAAUUUAUUCCAGUCCAAAAAUUCAAUAGAUUUUAGUUUUUAACCCACGUGCUAGAAAAAAGAUGGGAAUAUUUGCCAAUGUUCACAGGCAAAAACUAAGUGCCUAAAAUCACAGAUUAGAUCUGCAUUUUAUAAACAACUUUUUCUAAAAAAAGAUGUAAGUUAAUUGGGUGGUUGACAUCAUCCAACACUCUUUCCAAUUUCUUCCAAAGCAAAAACUUCCAAAGGUCAAAAACUAAUCUCAAACACGAUUCCAAUGUGCCUUAUAUUGCAGCAUUUGUUAUUAGGGACACUUCCAACAUACACACACCCUUUGCUUUGCUGGCACAUAGAAAUUAAUUUAAUUUUCAUUUAGUAGAGAACCAAGAAAAACAUUUAAACAAUGUAUUCGCUUAUAAUAAUAACUUAUGUAUUUAUUUUAAUUUUGGAUUUUUCACUUUGUAUUAUUCAAUUAUUUUUCAGAAAAUACGUACAAUUAAUUUUCAUAAUCACAAAAUAUUGUUGUAAUAUAAUUUUAUUAUAGAAGACUCAUUAUUUUAUAUUUAAAAAAUAAUUACUUUUUAUUAUAAUUCUAAAUUUUACUAAAAUCAUCGUUGAAAAAAUGUGAAACUAAUUUUGCAGUUCUUUCAUUUAUUAACACUGGUAGAUGUGAGUAAAAAACGCAAAUUCUCUUGUAUUUUUAACAUUUUUUUCUAAAAAUUAAUUUAUCUGUCUAUAAGUAAAUAGGCUCAAAGCUUUCUUUAACUUUUUUUUCUCAUUAUUUUAAUGUCUUCCACUUAUUUUUAUAAAAAAAUAAAAUUAAUUUUUGAUUUGACACAAUAUUCGCUCAACGUAUACUAUGCACUAUCACAAUAUAAUAAAACCACGUGAUAAAACUCUAAUAAAUUAUAACACUCGAUUAUGGAAGUUUUACACCUAAAAAAGAAGGACCGGCCAUCAUAAUGGUCGAUACUCGGAAUGACAGAAAACUUGCACUCAUGAAUCGGUCGAGCCUUUCAUGAAAUAAGUUACCGUUAAAUGAUAGUAUCCAGCAGAUCCUCAUUAUGCCUAUAAUCGCGGAACCUCUUAUAUAUUAGCCGGUACCAACUGGAUUUCCAAAAAAUUCACUAACUUCAUUUUCUUAUAGUAUAAAAGCAAAAUAUACAUAGAGUUCAAGAUAUGCAUUCUUAUAUACUCUUCUUAAACUCAAAAAAUCUACUUACACUCGCUCUCUUUGAUAAUUUACUGAUUUGAGUGUCGGAGUGGCUGGCCAUAGGCAUCAACCACUUCACUUUCUUUCUUUUGCAGAUUGACCAAUCCUUUUUAGCUCAUUUUCGGCCGCAUCAUUUGGUUCAAUUGCCGGGAUACCUAUAGAGUUCUUGUUCAUUUGAGAUAAAUUCAACUUAGCUUUCUAUCUAUUUUUUCAGUCAAAGCACUUUCCAUUUCCAUCAUUUUACCCUUAAAAUGGCUGAAAACUUACGAGCUAUUACUAAGUCUGCUGCCAACAGAGGAGCCAACAUCUCCUCCACCCCUAGUAGUGGAUAAAACACUCCUUCCAUAUUCAAUGAGGCAAACCUCAACAAUCUAAAUAAUAAGUAGAUGGUACAAUAUACUAAAAAGCUGCAAACAACUCUCUGAGUAAUAUAAAGUUCGGAAAGAGGCCUCAUUCAUGACUCCCAGAAUAAGGGAGAAAACUUCCUUCGAGACCCCAAAGACUCGAACAGAGACAAUUCAUACUCAGCCCAAAGGAAAGGCCAAACUAGAGCAUGAGGAGUUAUCGGACGAGGCCCCAAAAGAUUUUGACUAGAAGUUGGUUCGUGCUGUACAAAGGUACUAGAAGGAGCAAAAGAAAGAUUAUGGCUUAAAUGACGCUUCACCCCCAUCAGAGAAAAUUCCUGCAGAAACUUUUUCCACUAAGUUCAAGCUGCCCAGUUUGGACAAGUAUGAUAGGACAGUAGAUCCCAGAAGCCAUCUGACAAUCUUUCGGACUAUGAUGUAGCUUUAGGAUAUCAAUAAUUUUGUACUAUGUCGAGUCUUCCCGUCCACCCUCACAGGUUUGGUCGAGAAAUUGUAUCAGCAUCUAAGUCUAGGUUCUAUCCACAGUUUUACAUAACUUGCCAUGUUAUUUAAGUUUAAGUUUUUUACCUGUACACCUCCUAAAAAACUCUCCUUAGACUUAUGAAAGAUCUGACAAGGAGAAGGAGAUUCUUUAAGGAGUUUUAUCUCAUGUUCAAUGCUAAAGCAAUACAGAUAGAAGAAUUGAAUCACAAGAUAGCAUGCGAGGCAUUAAAGAAAGGGAUUCGCAACAUAAAGUUUAUGAAUUCAUUGAUCAAGAAUCCAGCAGCCACUUAUUAGCAGCUAAUGGACAAAGCGUAAAAGUACAUUCGAUUGGAUGAUAAAGUCCAAGCGCAGAGAGAGGAUAAGAGGACAAGUCAAAGCAAAACCUAGAAGCCAGAAAGGCAAGGCCAUGAGAGAGAUUGAAAUAAUUAUCCCAUGUCCCAAGGGAGGGACGACCAAGAUAAGUAUAAGAACUAUACUUCCUUAAAUGACUCACGAACGCAUAUUUUGAUGUGGAUGAAGAAGAAUGACAAAGAGGUCAAAUGGCCCUCUAAGCUCAAUCCUAAUAAAGCCAGCAAGUGAGAUAGGACAAAUGCUACCAAUUCCAUAAAGUUCAUGAAAACAUAACUGAGAAAUGCCGAUAGUUAAAAGACGAAAUUGAGAGAUUGAUAAGGGAUGACACACUUUGAAAGUUUUCCAGAAAAGACAGAGAGGAUAGGAGACUCGAGUCUGAGGUAAGAAUUCUCGAAAAUGCUGUUGAUAGUGACCCUAUUGGGGUUAUACAUGUGAUUACAGGUGGCCCUAAUGAUUGUAAGGGCAAGAACAAGCAUGCCCCUAAGGAUGUCCUAUCUGUAGAGUAAGAACCAUGGACGAAGCAAGAGAUAAAAUUUGGGCCAGUAGAUAGAUGACAAAAUCUUUGCAUAAUGACCCACAAGUCAUAAGCGUUCGAUUUAACUUGUAUGAUGUGAAGCGAGUCUUAGUUGACACAGAUAGUUCCAUAAACAUUCUCACUUUAGAAGUAUUUAACAAAUUAGGUUUAGAUAAAAACAAUCUUGUUAAAGUUUCCUACUCAUUAGUAGGGCUAGAGGACAAAACUGUGGCAUUUCUUGGUACUAUUAAUCUCCCACUUGUGUUGAGGAAUGAGAAGUACAAGUGGGAGCUAUAUGCAGAAUUUGCGAUGGUAGAUAUUUCACUCACCUAUAAUAUAAUACUCAAUCGCUCAGUCUUAAACUGCCACAGGAUAAUAAUUAACAUGGGUGCUUUGUAUUUAAAGUUACUAGUUCGAGGCAGCCAGAAGUCAGCAUAAUAAUGCUACAAGAACUCUACAAAAAGCCUCGGGAAAGUAAUGGUACUGAUUUAUCUCCUGGAAAAACCAGACUCUUAUACGAAGCCAGAAUCAGCAGACUUGGUAGAAGAGAUCCUCUUAGAAGCAGAUAGAAAAGUACGCUUUGAGCGUAGCGCGUGCCACUUGAGCGAACUUAUUCUUCCCUUUGCUAGCCAUACCUGCAAAGAGAAAAAGAUGAGUAAGUAAGGUAGUUUAAAGGGAACAAAAUUUGGAAAGAAAAGAUAUCUUGCUCUUACUCUGUAGUGUAAGGUACGAUUUCCUGAGAGUUUAGGAGAUUAGGUGGUUGAGGGAACCGAGCCUGUUUUGCUUGGUAAUGACUUUGCUAGGAGAAGGUGGCAUUACUCACCGCCAUGUUAAUAUCCACUCUUUUGGUUGAGGCUAUCUUCUAGAGGAAGUCUAAAGCCUUUAUCUUAUCUUUUCGUGCCUGGACCCCAUCCUUUCAAAGCUCCACGUAUAUGUUCCAGUCAGUCCGAAACUUUCCAAAACCCUGGAUACAUUGUGGCGAAGGAUGAAAAACUUAUUUUUCUAACGCUUCAAAGAGGAUGGUAUCCGGUCAAAAAGGGUCUGGCGCUUUUUCCCGCUGAAGAACCAAAAUUCUUUAUUUUUUUGUGUAUCCAGCUAGUACAAUUGAGAGAAGAGUGCAAUGCUUAGCUCGAUAUUAUUAUUGAAGCGGAUAAAGCGAAAAGCCACCAAAAUCCUCCAGCUAUUUGAGUGCAGUUGGGUGACUGAUAGCUUGUAAAAUUAGAGGACUUAAAAAAAAAGGGUCCAUUAGGAACCGAAGACCCGCCUUCAACUGUUCUUUGUAUACCAUGAUGGUACCCUCAGUAGGGAUCUGAUCAUCCACGCGAACGUUCGAAUGGGAAUUGUAGACUUGGAAGAUCUCUCAAGAGAUCUAGUAAUGGUCAUGUAAGCAAUCUACAUCUCUUUCAGUCAGCACAGAUGGGAUAUCAUUUGCUAGGAGGCUGUCAUCAUCAUGGACUGCCCUCAAUAGAACGAUGGGAGUUGGAGCGCAGAUGGGGCCGCCGGAGGAAUAACUCAAGGUUAAACUUCCACUAGAAGAAGACAAUAAAGAAGACAAAGAAGAAGACAAAGAAGUCCUAUUCAUCUUGAAAAAUAUGGAAAAGGAGCAGAAUUAGGAAUUACCUUUAGAAAACGAGAAAGUUAAAAACCGAGUGGUCAAGUCUUUUUAGAGCAAAAGGAAGCAAUAGAGAGCAAAAGUGGUAAUCGCAGGAGAAAGGAGAUUUUAUAUUAUUGUUUUGACGGCUGGUUUAAAUGCGAUUCAAGAAGUAAGGCAAUUAGAAUUUAUGUUCAGAAUAGGUGAAAAAACGUGGGUAUGGAGAGCUAAUUCGUGCAUCCACAUGUCUAAGACCAUAAAAAAAAUUGUAAUCUUUGAAUAUAAAAAGUCGAAGAUCGAUGGAGGGACCUCUGAUAUGACACAAUAUUCACCUAAAGUAUAUCAUGAGCUGUCACCAUAUGGCAGAGUCACAUGACAAGACCCUAAUAAACUAUAACACUCGGUCACGGAAGUCUCACCUAUAAGAAAGGAGGCCCGAACAUCAUAAUGGUCAAUACUCGAAACGACAGAAGGCUCACGCUCUCAUAAACUGGUCGAGUAUUUUAUGACACAAGUUACCGUUAAAUGAUAGUAUACAGCAGAUUCUCAUUACGCCUAUAAUCGCGGGAUCCAUUAUUCACUAGCUGAUACCAAUAAGAUUUUUAGAAGAUUUACUAACUCACUCCAACUUUUUACAGUAUAAAAGUAAAAGAUACACAUAGUUAAAGGUGUGUAUUUUUACACACUCUUCUUAAAUACAAGCAACAUACUUGCGCUCACUCUUUUUGAUAAUUUACUGAUUUGAACGUCAAAAUUGAUACACGUAAACACCAAUUAUCUUUUUUUUUUUUUAUAAAUUGAUCGAUCAUUUUCAGCUUAUUUUCUACUACAUCAAUUUUCUUAAAUAUUUUGGUUCAAAAUAAUUUUGGUUUCAAACAGUUUUAGGUUAAAAAUGAUUAUGGUUAGAAAAAGGAUUACAAAUAAAAGAGUUUGGUUUCGGCUAUGGUUUAGCGUGAAUUUAAACUUUUUAAAACAAUAAUAGUAUUAAUUAUUUAUAUAUCAAAAUACAUAAUUCAUUUAUGUAAAAUGAAUUCAACUAAUACAUUUUUUGAACAAAAGAAAAUUAUAAAUCAAUUUAAUUCCGGACUAAUUUCAAUCUUGGUUCAGGAAAGGGAACCGACCUUUUAAUAAUAUAUAAAUUCAACCUAGUUUAAAAGGUGAUAUGGAAUUCAUUGACCGGUUUAGUUACAAGUUUGACUAGUUCACAUCACUAUUUAAACUAGAUAAUGACCGAACUAGAAGUUUUCUUUAAUAUAUGCACUGCUCAUUAUGAUGCAUUAAAAUUAAAUAAUUCAUAUCAUUAAAUUAUUUUUGAAGCUAAUGAAUUUAUUUUUGAUAAUAAUAUAUAAUUUAUAAUUUUAAAAUUGAAAAUAAUUUAUAAUUUAGGAAUAUUUAGAAGAAAAGGGAAGAGAAAUGUCGUAUGUGGUUACUCAUUUUGAAUAGUACAAGAUUUUAAGAAACGCAAAAGAACAGGGAAAGCCAAUACAACGUCUCUCGUAAACAAGAGGCAGAAAAGCAAGCCACUUGAAUUCCUUAAUAGUUAUCUCCAAUACAGCCAAAGACCUAACUUUUUGCCGCCCUUUGGGUCAAAUACGCUGCAUCAUUCAACUCUUAAAUACCCAUUUCUAGUCUCUAUCAUUUCCUCAUCUUCUUCAACCUUCCCUCUAACCGCCACAUAUUUUUUUUCUUUCUCAAACUACCCAUUGUUAAAAUUGCGCAAAAAUGGAGCUAGAACAGCCCAUACCAAGAGAAGAGAUCCCAGUAGAACUGAGAUCAUCAACCACUGACAGAAUUCAUACAAGAACCAAAUCAGCUACAUUUACAGGUAGCUUUUCCUCUUCAUCUUUCAGUGAUCUCUGCCAUCGAUCUGAAUCGUUUCGAACUCUGGAGAUGGGUGUGCCCAAGAGUAAUUCUUCCGAGAAAAGACUCGGUUGGUUGCGCUCUCAAAUCAUAGGCGAUAAUGUAGAAUUUGAUUCUCCCUUUGGUAAACGAAAACUCACCUACGCUGAUCAUACUGCCUCCGGCCAAUCUCUUCGCUAUAUUGAGAAUUUCAUCAUUAAGAACGUUCUUCCCUUCUAUGGUAUUGAUAUUUCUUUCCUUUUCUUCUUUUUUUUCUUAAGAAGAAUUUCAUUUUAUAUAUAUUUUUCGUUCAUUCGACUUUCUAGACAGUUUCGUAACUAUUAUGGCAAUGUGGUUAUUAAAAAAUGAACAGGGAACACACACACUUGCGAUAGUUACGUGGGGCACAGAACAACAAAAAUGGUUCAAGAGGCAACUAAAUACAUAAAGAAGAGCUUAGGAGGGGGAGAAGAGGAUGCAAUUAUGUUCUGUGGCUCAGGCACCACUGCAGCUAUUAAACGUCUGCAAGAGGUGAUGGGCAUAGCUGUGACGUCUAUUCUGAGGGAUAGGCUAAUUCAAUGCAUUUCAGAUCAAGAAAGAUGGGUUGUGUUUGUUGGACCUUAUGAGCACCACUCCAACCUCCUCUCAUGGCGACAAAGCUUAGCUGAAGUUGUAGAGAUUGGCGUAGAUGACAAUGGCUUGAUACACAUGGAAUCUCUCCAAGAAAAACUUCACUUCUAUAGAAAUGCCAAUCGUCCGAUGUUAGGGUCGUUUUCUGCUUGCAGUAAUGUGACUGGCAUUUAUUCAGAUACUCGAGGAAUUGCUAGGCUUCUUCACCAAUAUGGAGCUUUUGUGUGCUUUGAUUUUGCUGCAAGGUACCCACCUCCAACUUCAUAUUAAUUCUAUAUUAUUUAUUUCUUCUUCUGUUUUUUACAACAUCUAAUAUUUAAUUUAAAAAAAUUUAUAAUUUAAUAUCUAAAUAUUAUCAUUAUUAAAUCAUUUUUUAUAUUUUUAAAAAUCUAUUAAAAUAUUUUUUUUCAUCAACAAAAUAAUUUUUAUAUUAUAUUUUUUUAAAAAAAUAAAUAAAGAAUGAAAAGAGAAAAUUUUUAAAAUUUAAUUUUAUGUUUAAUUAAAAUUAUUUAUUUAGUUUUUAAAUAUUACUAUUAUUAAUAAAAUAAUUUUUAUAUUUUUAAAAAUUUAUUAUAACUUUAUUAAUUUUUUCUCAUAUUUAUUAAAAUAUUUUUAUUAUUUUUAUAUUUAUUAAAAUAUUUUUAUUUUUUUUUCUUUUUAUCCUUAUCCUCUUUAAACAAAAAAAAAGAAAGAAAAAGAAAAAAUGAUGAUGAGAAAGGAGAAGUAAAAGAAAAAAAAGAAAAAAGAAGAGAAAAUGAGAAGAAUAAGACGAUGAAGAAAAGAAGAAGAAGAAUUUCCUCUGCUUCUUCUCUUUUUCUUCUUUAAAAAAUAAAGAAUUAAAAAAAAAUUAAAAAAUAAUUAAAGAAAAAGGAGAUAAAAAGAAAAGAAGGAGAAAGGAAGAAAAAAACAAAAGAAGAGAAGGAAGAGAAGAAAAGGAAUUUAAUUUUUUAUUAUAUUUUUAAUAACACAAAUAAGUGAAAUGAUUAUUUUAUUUACAGAUAAAAAAUAUAAAAAUAUUUUAAUAAAUUUUUAAAAAUAUAUGAAUCGAGUAAAAAUAAUAUUUAAAAAUUAAAAUUAUAAAUCUCACUUUAACUUAAUAAUUAUUAAUUUAGUUUUCAUAUAAAAUAUAAUUUCAUAUGAUUAUUAUUUUAUUAGGGCGGCUUUUUUUUUUUUUUUCCUUUCUGUCUAACUUGGCGGUUGUAUUGAACAUUUUGUUCUUUUGUGAUUGUUAUGCAUGAAGUGGACCCUACGUGAAAAUUGAGAUGAGAUCUGGAGAGAUUGAUGGCUAUGAUGCAAUUUUCCUUAGUCCACAUAAGUUUGUUGGAGGGCCUGGAUCGCCUGGAAUCCUUUUGAUGAGUAAAGCUCUGUAUCAGCUGAGGUCUUCUCCACCAUCUACCUGUGGAGGUGGAACUGUUUCUUACGUCAACGGCUUCAAUGAAAAGGUAUAUCCAUUUAUUUUCAGAAAUUUGAUUAUCCAUUUUUAAAAUUUUCAAAAGUAAAAUAUAUAUAAAAUUGAAUGGUACAUGUCUUUAUAUUAUAUAUAGAAUGUUUUGAUAGUAAGGAAUACAAAAAUUACUGAUGAGAAAUAAAAUAUGCAAUUAAAUUUUGCAGGACACAUUAUAUUAUGAAGAGAUAGAGGAAAGAGAAAAUGGUGGAACUCCUCAAAUAAUCCAAAUAAUUAGAGCAGCACUGGCUUUUUGGGUUAAAGAAUACAUAGGCUAUCAAAUGAUUGACAAACAAGAAACCUAUUACAUAGAAAAGGCAUUAAAGAGGUUGAUGUCCAACAAGAACAUAUGGGUUUUGGGAAACACAAGUGUGAAGAGACAAGCUAUAUUGUCCUUUCUUAUAUUUUCUACCACAAACUCUCCCUCAAGUGAAAUGGAAGAUGGUGAAUUUAGAGAGAGAAAGGAAAGAGAACUUUACAUGUGGGCAGAGACAGGGAACAAGAGAGAUAAGCCUCUUCAUGGAGCUUUUGUUGCAUCUUUGCUUAAUGAUUUGUUUGGCAUUCAAGCUAGAGGUGGGUGUGCUUGUGCUGGUCCUUAUGGUCAUAUUUUGCUCAACAUUAGUGAAACUAGCUCCCUUUCUUUCAGAUCUGCCAUACAAAAGGUAAAUUUUUUACUCUUUCUUCUUACUGAGUCCAGAAAAAAAAGUGGGUUACAGUAAAUUUUGAGUCUUUCUUUCUUAUUCCACAAAAAUGGAAUCAGCUUUUAUUGUUGUGGGCAGGGGGAUCAUGGAGUAAAGCCAGGAUGGACAAGAAUUAGCUUCCCAUACUACAUGUCCAAUGAGGAAUUUGAGUUCAUUCUAGCAGCUCUGGAAUUUAUAGCAAUUUAUGGCCAGCGAUUCCUUGCUUUGUAUAACUUCAAUUUCAAAAGUGGAAGUUGGUCUUUGAAGAAAAAGGCAUUCAAGAACCUAGUGGGAGGAAAACCAAAGAGUAUCGACAUGCCGUUUGCUGGUUCUAAUGAGGGUGAGAUUAUAAUCAAUAAGCACAAAUCGUAUUUGGAAACGGCAAAACGUAUCGCUAAUUUGCUUCCCAAGUUCCCUUCUCAACGUAAGCUUCCAGAAAAUUUAGAUCACGACUUUCUAUAUUUUCGAGUCUAGCCCCUAUGAUUUCUUUGUAUUAUUUAUUUAUCUUUGUUUUACAGAGUACAUUUAUUAUUCAAUUUUGGAAAAAAUAAAUUACAUUUUCAUUUCUCUUGUAAGGUAUAAGGUUAACAAAUAGCAUUUUAUGUCUAAGGUUUUUUCUUUUUUUUCCUUUUAACAAGUUUAAUAGAGAUGUAGAAUCAUAAAUAAAUAAAAAAAAAUUAUUAUAGGAAUUCUGGAUAUUAGUGAAAUUAACUAGUUAAUCCUUAUAAUUUUAUAGCCAAUUAAAAUAUCAUUUAUUAUUCUAAAAUGCAACUAUUUAUUUUUCAAUAAAAAAUUUCACAAGUCAAAUGAUGAAAUAAAAAGUAAAAAGUGAGAUAUUAAUUAUAAAUUUAAAAAAUAAUCCAAAAGAAUAACUCAUUUUUUAUGCUGUAGUCCAUUAAAAUGGAUGAAUGAAAAUAAAAAUCCCAGCAAAUUGAAACCCAUAAAACUAAACUUUUGAGGCAAAAAUAUAUUCAACCACAAAGACAAAAAAUUAUUCAAAUUUAAUGAUCAGACCUAAAAAUUAUGCAUUAAUUAUCAAUACAAACAAUAAUCUAAGAAACUGAAUUUUAGAUUCUAUAAAUAAAUUAAAUACAACUCAAAUCCAUAAACUUCUAUGAAUAUUAGUCCCAUCAAUUGAUUCCAUCAAUAUUGCUCCCAGAAUAUCACCAAUUUGUAAGAUUCUUUUCCCAUGCUGGAAAUAUUUAAAGAAGGAGGAUUUUAUGUUAUUUUCUUUAGAAUCCUAACUGCUUCUGUUUGUUCAAGUCCCCACUGCGAGGUUGCUUUUUGUGCGUACAAAGUUGCUUACUGUGUUUUGAAGCAUGGGAUUCGUCGUGAACAUUCGAUUUAAUUUAAAAUUAAAGUAAACAAAAUAAAUUAAAAAUUAAAAUUUAAUAAUUUAUAAAAUUUAAAUCGAAUUAAUUUUAAAUAAAAAUUAAAUCAAAUUUAAGUAUUUAUAAAAUAAAAAAGUCUAUAAAAUCUAUUUUUAAUAGACUUUUUUUAUUUUUACACUAUACUUUUAAUAUUUUAAAAUUUAAUUGAAAUAUUUUAAUUUUAAUUAUGGUCUAAUAUCUCUAUAUUAUAAAAAAUAAUAUACUAUUAUUACUGAUCGGUUCAAUUCGAUUUUUUCUUAUUAUAAUCGAAUUAAAUUAAAAUAAUUAAAAUUUUUAAAAUUAAAAUUCAAACUAAACUAAAAUUAAUAAAAAAGUUAAAUUAAACUUUUAAAUUAAUUCGAUUCGAUACCUCCACUUCCUUCAAAUAAUUUGAGUUUUUGACAAAAAAUAGUCUUUCACCCUUAUUUGAAAUUAAAAUUUUCAUAAUAAUUCAAUUUUUUUAUCAAAUUUUUUAUUUAGAAUAAAAAAAUUUAUUCUUUUGUAAUUAACUUACAAAGCUUUUAUUUUAAAACAAAUGAAAAUAUUCAAAAUUUUAUUUAAAUUUAUUUAAAUUUUUUUAAAUAAAAUAAUGCGAAAUAGCGAGCUAAAAGACGUGUACAUUAAAAGGAAGAGACCUAAAAAUUAUUUAUCAAAAUGUGGUACUUUUUAAUUGAAUGCAACUUGAAUCGCAUUGGGUUAUUUUUAAUUGGACGCACCCUUCCUUCAACGAUUCAAGUCUUUAUAUGAAAUUAUCGUUGUUAGACAUAAUCUAAUAUAUCUUUAUUAUACCUGUAAUCACAUGAUUCUCUAUCAUUCAAUAAUAUUCUUUAUCAAACAAAUGACUACAUUACUACCGAAUUAUCAGAAUAAUAUUAUAUUUAUCUUUACCUCUUUCAGUAUAAAAAAAAAAAAUCAUAAAGAUAAAAAUACACUAUUUUAAGACAUUAAAAUUUUUAGUAGUCCAUUAUAUUCUCUCUUCUUGAUACUAACUUGAACCUAUCAUUGGAUGAUAUUUUUUAUUAAACAAACGAUCACAUUACCGCCGAAUUAUCAGAAUAAUAUCAUAUUCAUCUCUACCUCUUUCAGUAUAAAAUAAGAAAAAUCAUAAAAACAAAAAUACACUAUUUUAAGACAUUAAAAUUUUUAGUACUCCAUUAUAUUCUCUCUUCUCGAUGUAUCGACUUGAACGUUGAGACAAUCGACUUGAACGUUGAGACAAUCGACUUGAACGUUAGAGUGGUUGCCGUGAACACCCACAACCACCUCACAUUUUCUCUCUUACAGAUUCUAAUUAAAUACAACUCAUUCUCAUUUCGGUCACGUCAUCAAUCUAGUCUCGAAAAUAUUAAUAACUAUAUAAAAAAAAACAUAAAGCUACAACAUUGCUUUAAUUAGUAAUCAUAUUGAAGAAUAUCUCCAAAUUUCCAAAUUCCUAGGUUCCAUAUGCGCCGAUUUUCCAAAUAGUUUUACAUUCUUAAAGAUAAAAGAAAUCCAACAUAAAUUUUGUCUAAUCUGUAAAAUAGAAUUUCAUAUUAGAAGGGAAAAAAGCUAUAUUUGAAUAAAAUUUUGAAAAUAACGUGCACUAAAACGUGGCUAUAAACAUCCCUUACAAUGGCCAUGUUUGGCAACACUGUUUAGCAACAGCAUUUAGUAUUUAAAUUGGAUUAAAAUAUUAAUUUUUAUUAUUUAAUAACUAUAAUUUUAUAAAAAUAUUUAGCGUUAAACCAAUGAAUAUUAAAAACUACUCUAUUUAACAUUUAGUAGUCGACAACACAUAAUUAUAUUUUUUUUUGACACUUAUAAUUUUUUUUUUUUACAUAUUUAUUCAAAUUAUUUAUUAUAAUAUUAUAUUUAACUGGUAAUUUAAUAUUUAUUUUAAACUGAAUAUUUUUAUUUUAAAUUAUUAUAUAAACAGCUAAUCACUAAUCGCUAAUAUUUAAUAAAUAAUAGCUGCAAAAUUGAAACCGUUAAUAUGUAGAGCAGGACCAAUGUCUCGCAGCAUAUUGAAAAAGGGCAAAAGAAAAAAAAGAAUCAAAUAUAAGUGCAGUCAAUCGAUUGACGAAGAAGACUAAUGAGUCUGGCUGCAGGAUUAAUCAAAGAUAGGUGCAGUCAAGCGAUUCACGAAGAAGACUAAUGAGUCUGGCUGCAGGAUUAAUCAAAGAUAGGUGCAGUCAAGUGAAGCUAUUGACGAAGAAGACUAGCCACAGUAGAAGAUGAAUGAAGGCAGGCAAAAUCCCACAGUUGUGUGCUCAAGCGAUAGAGUGAAGAGGAACUCGAGUAAGACGGUACCUUCAGAAAUCUAGGCUAAUUUUAAUUUAAAUUAUUAAAAUAUUAAAUUUAUUUAAAGUUUUAAUUUCAAUUAAAAAUUUUUUAAUUUAAAAUAUUGAAAUUUAGGUCAACUUAAAUUAAAAUUAUUAAAAUUUAAUUUAUAAAGAAUAUUAAAAAUUUUAAUUUAUUAAAUAUUGCAAAAAAAUUUAAUUUAGAAUAUCCUUAAAAUAUAAAUUCAGUUUGUAGAUAUAUUACAUUAAAAAUAUUUAAUUUUUAUUUUUAAUUUUUAAUUUAAUCUAGCAACACCCCAAAAUAUUUAUAUAGAUAUUUACACUCCAUUUUUUUUUCUUUUUUAUAUUUUUUAGCAUUUCAAGAAUUUACGAAAAAUAUAAUAAAAAAAGUAAAUCAUUUUUCACACAUUAAAAUUUAUAUAUAUAAAUUUAUUAAUAAAUUUUAUUUUUUAAAUUAUAAUUAAAUAAUAAAAAAUAAGUCAUUGAAAAAUAUUUUUCAUAAAAAAUAUUUUUUUAAAGAAAUAUUUUAAAAAAAAAAAUACUUUUCAAAGAAAAUAUUUUCUACGACUUUUCAAAGAAAAUAUUUUCUAAAAAUAUACUUUUCAAAGAAUAAAAACAAUUUAAAGAUGAUAAUCAUUUAAAUCGGAAAGGCACUUUGAAGUUGACAAAGAAAAAUAUUUAAUUUUUAUUUUUAAUUUUUAAUUUAAUCUAGGAACACCCCAAAAUAUUUAUAUAGAUAUUUAGGCUCCAUUUUUUUUCUCGUUUUAUAUUUUUAGCAUUUCAAAAGUUCACGGAAAAUAUCGUCAAAAAAAAGUUAUUUUCCACAUAUUAAUAUAUUUAUUAAAAUUUUUAUAUAUAAAUUUAUUAAUAAAUUUUAUUUUUUAAAUUAAAAUUAAAUAAUAAAAAAUAAAUUAUUUCAUUAAAAAAUAUUUUUCACGAAAAAUACUUUUCAAAAAAAAUAUUUUUUACAGAAAUACUUUUCAACGAAAAUAUUUUUCAUAAAAAAUACUUUUCAAAGAAUAAAAACAAUUUAAAGUUGGAGAGGCAUAUUAAGUUGACAAAGACUCAAAUACAUUGAAUCCACGAAGAUCGGAGAAUGAGAAUUGAUGGAGAAGAGGGGUAGAGCAAUGAUUGAGACAGAUAGGGAGACCCCAGACUAUUGAUGGAGAAUAAAACACCGUUUUAGAGUUAGGAUAAUUAAUUUCGAUAGAAAUGCUAGUUUAAUUUUGGGUCCCAGUUAAAACAAAAAAAAAAAAAAUUGAUAGAANNNNNNNNNNNNNNNNNNNAUACAAAGAAUAUAAAUAAAAAAAAAAACAACAGAUUGGUCCUAUUUUCAAGACCACAUAAUCGAUUAAUAUGAGAUUUUAUUGCCGUGAUAUACUAAUUGUUAAUUGAUUAAGCAAAUAAGAAAUAAAAUAAUAACAGUAAAAUAUUAUGCAGUAGAACUAGUCAACAGUAACGGAACUAGUCAAUAUACUUCCUAUUCUUGAUAAUAUUUCGCGACGAUCGUCGCAAUGAUCUAUUAUUACCUCCCCAUCGGAAGGAACCUUGUCCUCAAGGUUCAAAUUGGAAAAUCGAGCUUUUAAAUUUGCAGUAGACUCCCAAGUAGCAUCCUCAAGCGAAAAAUGCUUCCAACAAACUAGACUUUCCUCCGUAAUGCGAUUGCCCGAUCGAAUCCAGCGAGUAUCCAAAAUUUCCUCAGGCUCAAAAACAGCAUACCCAUCAUCAUUCAACUGAGGCAAAGCAGUGGAGACUGGAACAGAUUCUCCAACAUGUUGUUUAAGAAGAGAAACAUGAAAAACCGGAUGAACUCUGGAACCAAGAGGGAGCUGUAACUUAUAAGCUAAGUUGCCGAUUUUUUCUUCCACCCGAAAGGGACCAUAGAAACGGCUAGCCAAUUUCUGGAAGGCCCUCUUGGAAAUAGAUUGCUGGCGAUAGGGCUGCAAUUUAAGAUAAACAUAGUCACCUGGACUGAAUUGAACAUCCUUGCGUUUAAUGUCAGCAGCCUGUUUCAUUUGAUUAGCAGCUCUGGAUAGGUGAAUUUUUAAAUCAUGUAAAAUUUCAUCUCUAGUAGCCAAAUUGAGAUCCACCUCAUGAACCAGCGAAUGCCCCAACUCAUAACGAGAAAUCAUAGGCGGAUUCCUGCCAUACAAAGCCAGGAAAGGAGUCAUCCCAAUAGAAAUAUGAAAGGAGGUAUUAUACCAGUAUUCAGCCCACGAUAAGAAAGAACUCCACCGGCGCGGUUGUUGACUAGCAAAACAACGCAGAUACUGCUCCAAACUUCUGUUAGUAACCUCAGAUUGACCAUCCGAUUGAGGAUGAUAGGAUGAACUCAUAUGCAGCUUAGUACCAGAGAGCUUGAAGAAUUCCUGCCAAAAAUUACUCAUAAAAAUUGGAUCCCGAUCACUAACAAUGGAUCGAGACAGACCAUGAUAUUUCACUACACCAUCCAGAAAUUUCUCUGCAACGAUUUUUGCCGAAUAUGGGUGAGCCAACGCCAAGAAGUGGGCAUACUUACUUAACUUGUCGAUGACAACCAGAAUUGAAGUCUUUCCAUUCGAAGAAGUCAGACCAUCGAUGAAGUCCAUUGCAAUAUCAUCCCAAACCUGAUGAGGAAUCGGCAGGGGCUGAAGAAGUCCAGUUGGCUUUGUAGUUGCAGCCUUAUUUUUUUGACAAACAGAACAUGCAGCAAUAUAGUCUUGGAUGUAGGAUCGCAUAGAAGGCCAAUAAAACUGUUGGGCAAUUCUCUUAAAGGUGCGCAAAAUGCCAGAAUGGCCACCACAUGGGGAGUCAUGGAAUUCCUGCAAAAGCUUACUGGGCAAGUCAAAGUGAGGAGGAACCACUAUCCUAUUCUUAUAGAAAAGUAACCCAUUCUUCCAUGAAUAUGGAUGACCCAGGUUGGUAGAAGCCAACCGACUGACAUUAAUCAUGUAAGAAUCAGAAGCAAGAUGGGAUUUAAUUUGGUCCCAAAGAGAGGUAUGAGGAAGAUACAGGGAAUUGAGAGAUGGACUUCCAGAGAUAUGGGACAAGGCAUCAGUGACCUUAUUCUCUUUUCCUGGCUUGUAAAUGAUUUCAUAAUCAUAACCCAACAGCUUUGACACCCAAUUCUACUGUUCAUGAGUAACCACUCGCUGUUCCACCAUGUAUUUGAGGCUGCGCUGGUCAGUCUGAAUAAAAAACUUGCGACCCAAUAAAUAAGGACGCCAGGUACAGAUAGCUAGCAUCUCCCUUGCAUAAGUAGACCAGGCUUGUUUUGAAACUCCUAAGGCACGACUUAUAAAUGCAAUGGGACGAUCAUGCUGAGAAAGAACUGCUCCAAUACCAGUCUUCGAAGCAUCAGUGGUGAUGAUAGAUGGAUCAUUAAAAUUGGGCAGCGCCAAAGUUGGAGUAGAAGUCAUCACCUUUUUCAAGGACAAGAAAGAUGAAUCUGCUUCUAGUGUCCAAAAGAAAUUGCCCUUCUUUAGUAAGUUUGUUAAUGGCUGAGCUAGAUGCCAUAAUUACAAACAAACUUCCUGUAGUAUCCUGUAAGACCCAAAAACCCACGUAAGUCAGUAAGAUUGGUGGGCUUAGGCCAGUCAAGAAUGGCUUUGAUCUUGGAUUGAUCCACUUGCAUCCCCUCCGAAGAGAUAAUAUGCCCUAAGUAUUCAAUUUGCCGCUGGCCAAAGGCACAUUUACUGAGCUUUAUAAAAAAUUGAGGCUGCCGCAGUAAUUCAAAAGCCAUUCGUAUGUGUUCCAUAUGCUGCUUCCAAUUGGGGCUAUAGAUAAGAACAUCGUCAAAGAAGACUAGUACGAACUUUCGUAAGUAAGGUUGAAACAGAGUGUUCAUUAGCGCCUGAAAGGUAGAAGGAGCAUUGCACAGCCCAAAGGGCAUCACUAGAUAUUCAUAAUGGCCGUUGUGUGUUCUAAAAAUCAUUUUAUGAAUAUCAGCUUGGUGAACACGGACUUAGUGAAACCCUGCAAUAAAAUCCAGUUUAGUGAAAUAAGUGGCACCAUAAAGCUCAUCAAGCAUAUCGUCCACAGUUGGAAUAGGAAAUCGAUCCCGAACAGUAACCGCGUUAAGAGCCCUGUAAUCUGUACAAAAUCUCCAGGAGCCGUCCUUCUUCUUAACUAGCAAAACAGGAGAAGAAAAAGGACUUGUGCUAGCCCUGAUAAGUCCUGAUUUCAACAUAUCCUGGACCUGCUUUUUGAUUUCAGCCUUCUGGAAGUAGGCAUAUCUAUAAGGCCGAACAUUAACCGGAUCUGUACCUUCUUUAAGAUUGAUGCGAUGAUUGAUCUCUCUCUCUGGAGGAAGUUGGCUUGGUUUCUGAUAGAUGUCAGAAAACUAAUGUAAUAAGAGCUGCAUAUCUGGAUGUAAGUCGUCGAACAAUGCAGGUGAAGAAGAUUCCACAUAGAUUGCAAAAACAGAACUGUUAUGUCGCAAUUCUUUGGACAUUGCUUUCAAUGAGUGGUUCAAUCUUCUGAGAUGUUUCCAAUUGCAAGAAACAGUUCCCAAUUGCUGCAACCAUUGAAUUUCUAAAACCACAUCCAAACCCAUUAUGGGCAAAAAAAAGAAUGUAGCGACAAAGGGUAUACCUUGGUGAGUAAAAGGAACGCCUUUGAAUUUCCCAUUGCAGAUUAAGGGACUGCCAUUGGCAACCUUAACAUUGAAGGGCUUAGUUGGGUUCACUGGUAGCUUGAGUAAUCCAACAAUCUUCUCAUUGAUAAAAUUAUGAGUUGAGCCACUGUCAAUGAGAACAAUCAGUUCGAUGGAGUUAAUGUGGAUUGCGAUUCUCAUGGUACUUGUGGAAGACCACCCAGUAAGGGCAUGUAAUGAAAUUUUCGGUUCUACCUCCUCAUCGUCGUCAUCAAAAUUACAGCCACCAUCGAGUAGAAGCAGUUGAGGUUUAGAACAACUGUGCCCUGGCACAAACUUUUCAUCGCAGUUAAAGCAUAAACCAUCAGCUCGCCUUUUUUGCAUCUCGUCCCAGGUGAGCCUCUUUACUAGUGUCGUCGGUUUGCUCUUAACUGGAGAAGAAGAGCUCAACUGAUAAGAUGGGCGAGUUGCCUUUCGUUGUCGAAGCAACUGCUCAUCUCUCAUUCGAGCGUAAUUAAUUGCUUCCUUGAGCGUUGUAGGUUUGAACAUUCUGAUUCCAUCUGAAAUCUCUGUUUUGAGGCCGCCCAUAAAAGUCCCCACCAGCACCUUUUGCGUCCAUCCUUUCACCUUAUUGCCUAGGCUUCAAAUUUCCGCUGGUAUUCUCUCAGAGGCCCAGUUUGUCGAAUUUUAGAAAGGGACUCGUCGAAAUCCUCGGAUUCAGUUGGUCCAAAACGGGACCAUAUUUCCUCGACAAAAGUUUCCCAGGUAAUCUCCUUGCUCUCUUCUCGAUAUGUACAUUGCAUCCACCUCCACCACUGGCUAGCUUCUCCUUGGAGAUGAUAAGAAGCCAAAUAGACCUUUUCAGUAGGAUAUGUUUUCUGAUAAUCGAAAAAAUGUUCCACCUUAGCCAUCCAUUCGGUUGGAUCGUCGCCUGAGAAUUGAGGGAAUUCAAUUUUGGCGAGUUUGGAAGCGAAGAUGGGCCUUCCUCCCUCUCUCGAUUCCUCUCUGUUAGAGCGACUCUGGCUAUUGCCACCAAUGCUGCUGGCCCCUUCUUUAGUGGGAAGAGUCGUCUCAGAAAACUUUGAGAUGGCUGCUUCAAUCUGUUGCAAUUUUUCGUUGAGUCCUUAGCCCAUGUUGCUGACUGAAUUUUGGAGUUGCCCGACAGCAGCUUCCAAAUUUUCAAUUCGUUCCUUAUUAGUUGCCAUCGAAAAGAAAUAGAGAAGAAAAAGAUAUAUAACUCGGCUCUUAUACAAAUGUUAGGUCCCAGUCAAAGCCAAAAAAAAAAAAAAAAAGAAUUGAUAGAAAAAAUAGGAAGUUCUGGUGUUUUUUUUCCUUUUCUUUUCUUUUCUUUUUUUUCCCCUUUUCUGCUGCAAGUACAAAGAAUAUAAAUAGAAGAAUAAGCAACAGCUUGGUCCUAUUCUCAAGGCCACAUAACCGGCUAACAUGAGAUUUUAUUGCCAUGAUAUACUAAUUGCUAAUUGACUAAGCAAAUAAGAAUAAAAUAAUAACAGCAAAAUAUUAUGCAGCAGAACGAGUCAACAGUAGCAGAACUAGUCAAUAUACUUCCUAUUCUUGAUAAUAUUUCUGGACGAUUGUCGCAAUUAUCUAUCAUUUAAUCCCAAACUAAUUAGGAGAGAUGCUAGUUUAUCCAUAGAUGCUUGAUACACAAUUCGUCUAUAGGUAGAGCACUAAAAGUUGUGUUUUAAAGUUUAACUUGUAUUUCAUAUAGAGUUAUACAUGCAGAAAUAAAGAUAAAAUAAAAAUAACUGAAUAACUGAAUAUAGAAAGUCUAAAUAAGAAAAUGGACAUAUCUUAAAAUAAAACAUACAGUGGAAGAAACAAGUCAAAAUCAAGUCAUUUAUGGGAGGUGUUUAUGAAUUUUCCGACAUGCUAGCUUGAGUUGCUUAUUAAAUCCGAUGUGCUUAUCUAAAUGAAAUAGACUUCUAAAGGUUUAAAGUUUAAUUUUAGUAGGUCCAUCUAUAAAUAUUAAAAGUUUAAAAACUAAAUUGAAAGAUGGAUAAAAAGUUUAGUAGGUUGAAGUGUGAAUAUGAAAAGUUUAAAAGUAAAUUUCAAGUUUGAUCCUCCAUUUUUCGACAUCUUCACCUAAAUCCUCCAUGUAUCACCUAACUAUGCAUGAAAGAAAUGACAAAACAUGAAACAAAAGGUGGUCUUUAUCUUCCUUCAUGUUGGCCGAAGAUGCACAAAAAAAAAAGACAAAUUGAUUUUUCUUCUUUUCUUCCAUUUCUAUCUAAUUUCUCCAUAAAAAUAAGAGUUUCAUCCAUGCAAACAUCUUUCUAAGUGAAAUAAUCAGCAAAAGAACCAUAGAAGAGAAGGAAGGAAAGAGAUGAGUUUAGGUAUUAAGUGGUAAGUAAUAGAAAUUGAAAAUUAGGUUGGACUAACAUGUCAUUCCAUACUUUCAAUCAAUUUUAUAGUGCUAAAUAAAUUAAAAAUCUUAUUUUACUUGUUCUUUGUAAAGAAAAAAUUUGAAAGGAAGAAGGUACAUCAAUGGAAAAAGGCAAGGAAAGAGAGUAACUAAGGCGUACAUAAAGCUUUUGAAAGGAAUUGUGCAAACGGCUUGGUGUUUGUAUGAAUUUCUAUUUUCUUUUGAUUUUUUCAUGAAUAUGUAAAAUUAGGAAUUGAUUUUGACUGCUGGAAAUGUUACUUUGAUUGUAUAAAUGUGUAAUAUGAAUUUUGGAAUUAUGUUUGGAAGGCUUAAAGCAAAGAAAUUUAACAUGGAAGUUAAAUGUGCAAAACUGGCAGAAUAUAUUUUAAAAGGGUAGCCUGUGUUGACAACUUCAUAACUCAUUGUAUAACUGUUGAAAUUGGACCUAAUAUAUACAAAAAAAAAAAUUGAGAUAAAGAGAUAAAAUUUUCAUGAAGUAACCAAAUUAUGAAGCUAUAGCUAAGUGUAUGCAAAUUGCAAGUGAACAUAAACUGCACACAGAGAUAGUUCAUCCGGAACAAUCUAUAUUCCUUAUAUCAUAACUAAUUCUGUACUCAAUGAAAUAAGUUAAGACUAGUAUCAAAUGAACCUUGAGAUGUAUAUUUAAAACUUUUUAAAAGAUAUUUAACCUUGAAUCUGAAUAAAAAUGUAUGUAUUAGAUAUAUUUUGUUAGACUAGAAACAAGUACCAAUACUGGACUGGUUAAAACUUAGUGGACAGCUUGUAAAUAAAAAUUCAUAAUUUGAGUUAGGAAUGUCAGAUUUAGAUGUGACAUAUCUUGUUAGAAAUUUAUGACACAAAUGCACAAUAUUCAUAUAUUAAUCUUAAUCAAAUUCUAUCCCUAAGGCACUUAAAAUUGUGAUACAUAAUCAGACAGAAAGAAACCUAAAUUUGAAUAUUGACCUAAAAGGGAUUGACAUGCUCACUUUACGCCCAAAUGACACAUGUGCUAGCUUGACGUGCCUGAUUUGUGCCCAUGCUAACUUAAUAAACUAAAAUUUAUAUAUAUUUUCUUAAUGAAUUAGCACUACACUCAUAACUGAAUAUGGUCCAUUACAUACACAUGUAUGCUUUAAGAACUUAUUUUAUUGACAUACUUGCUUAUGAACUUAUAAUUUGACAUACUUGCUUAUUUGAAUAUGUUAAGCAUCUAAAUUGAUAAUUUUGGUUCAAAUGAAUAUUUAACAUAUAUAUAUAUAUAUAUAUAUAUACUCUUGACCCUAGUAAACCUUAGUAGGAGUUGUAGCAAAAUAAGGGUGUGGCUUGCCAUAUAUAGUUUAACAAUACUGCACCCUAAUGGACUACAUGAUAUAAUAUUUUCGACACAUCAUGUGUCAUAGAGUUUCUCGGCUUUGGAGUUAUACAGGCACAGCAUUCGGCCCCUAGGCCAUAUAGUUUGGCACUUUAUGCUAUAUAGAUACAGUUUUCUCUUACCUAACUAGUCGAUCAUGCUAAGAGUUUAUAUGAGCUAAGAUAUAAUUACACAACUUGUUAAUACUUUACAAGUAUGCAUACAGGAUGGUUACCAUAAUAUGGAUGACCUUACAUAUGUACAACUGCAUGACUUAAUUUGCUCACUUUUCACCUAUAGACACAAAAGUUUUCUACAUGUUUCUAUGAAAUGAUUUUGUUAUAAUUGUUGUGUGAAUUCUUAUUUAUAUCUUAUAUGAAUAUAUUAUUAUUCACCCAUUGGGCAUAAGCUCAGCGCAUUAGACUUUUCCCUUACGCAGGUAGUAGACAGAGAAAGUGAAAAAUAAGAGGUCUGGUUCUGCAUUAGUACAAAGAAUCUCAAAAUUUAUUUAGAGGUUGUUUAUGUUUGACAUGUAUAUUUAUAAAGGAGUUUUGAUAAUAAUAAAAAUGUAAAUCAAUAUGUUUAGUACUUUUUGUUAAUAUGUUCUGUCUAUGGGUUUAAUUGUGUGAAUUGAGUAAAUAUUGAGAAUUUAUAGCUUUUUUGUACACGAUAAUUGCUGAUAAACAGGGGAGAUUCUUGCAGUUUUUCCAUUUAAAACUGUUAUUAUGAAUUAAUAUAUAUUUAAACAAAUUGAAUAAUAACUAAUAAUGUAGAAGCUAAUUUACGUCCACAUGUAUAAUUGUACUUAGUAUAGCACGUGACAUCCUUUACACAGCUAUCCUUAUAGAUGGAUAAGAGGUGUUACAUUUAUUGGUAUCAUAGCAGAGGUUUAGGCGGUUUUAGGAUAUAAUAUGAUGCAUACCUAGUUUGUCUUUAAUUGUUUAAAGGAUAUCUAAGGGAUCAUGACGUUCUAUAGAUGAGGAGGUGGGAAGUCAUGCCCCCUUAAAACCUAUUGAGCCAGCAGUUGCACCAACUUCUCCUAGUGAAGGUAGGCUAGGACAGGAUGCAUUCUUACAGUAGCUAGCAUAUAUGUUUAGAUGAGUUUCAGGGGCAGCGCCUCCGGUGCCACCACUAGUAGUAGUAUUAAUGCAGGCUCCUAAUAGAUCACCAAUAGAUAAGCUUAUAAAAUAUAGAGCUAUUAAAUUCAAAGGCAGAAGGGAAUAUAAUGCUUCAAUAGUAGAGUACUGGCUUAAAAGUACUGAGAGAGUAUUGCAGUAACUCCAAUGCACACCACCAAAUAGUAUAGCUUGUGUCAUUGCUUUGUUAUAAGAGGAAGCCUAUCAGUGAUGGGACACCACAUCACAAACAAUGCAAUAUGAGCAAUGGACUUGGAAAUUCUUUUUGGAUGAGUUUAGAAAGAAGUAUAUUGGGGAUUUAUAUAUGGAUGAAAAGAGAGAAGAGUUUUUGUAUUUGAGACAAGGCAAGAUGACAAUCAGUAAGUAUGAAAAAGAUUUCAUCAAACCGAGUAAGUAUGCUUGAGAAAUUAUGCUUAUAGAGGAAGCUAGAUAUAAGAAAUUUGAGCAGGGUCUACAUAGUGAUAUUAGGGUGCUUUUAGCAGCCCAUCCUAUUAUAGAGUUCUCUACUCUGGUAAAUGCAAAACUGAAUAUGGAAAAGAUAAAAGAAUAAGAACAGAUGUGGAGACAGAAAGGACAUCAGAAGAGAGGGUAAACCCAAACACAGGGGCAAUCCUCAGCCUUUUAGGCACCUACUAAGAGACGGAAGGGUGCCCACCCAUCAGGGCAGAGUCAGAUAUAAAGACAAAGACAAGGACCAACGCCAGAGUUCUGCAGGUAGAUUUAGGUAGCAAACUAGUAUUUCUAUAGCCAGUUCAGAAGGGGUUGGAAGAAGAUAAUACCCAAUAUGUGAGCACUAUGGUAGAAGACAUUUGGGACCCUGCAAAAAACUAACAGGGGCUUGCUUCAGGUGUUGAUUCAUUGAGCAUCUUAUGAGAGACUAUCCUAGGGGACAAGUAUCAUCAGCACUACCUGUAGAGAGGCCUGUUCCUACUGGACCUAGAGGAAGAUGAAGGGUUAGAGGUAAUUAGAUUGGGGCAACUUCAGCUAAUCAAAUGGUUUCUGAAACAGUAGAUAUAUCAAACUUCAAAACACCUGCUAGAGCCUAUACCAUUAAGGCUAAGGAAGACAGGGACCUCCCAGAUGUGAUAGUUGAUAUAUUCUUAAUCUUUGAUAAACCUAUGCAUACAUUGAUAGACUCAGGAUCUACACAUUCAUAUAUAUGUAUGCCUAUUACUAGUGAGGGGAAAUUACAUGCAAAUUUUCUAAACCAAGAUAUAAUUGUAACCAACUCCUUUAGGCAUAGUAUGAUAGUGAGUAAAGUAUAUAGAGAUUGUCCUAUAUCCAUCCACAGUCAUACUUUCUAUAGUUAUUUGAUAGAGUUAUCUUUUAGAGAGUUUGAUGUAAUCCUGGGCGUGGACUGAUUAUCUUGGCAUCGGGUAAUAGUAGAUUGCAUAUAAAAAAGAAUUAUAUUAAAAACACUUGAAGAUGAUGAUGUAGUUAUUGUAGGAGAGAGGUCAGGUUGCUUGUUUGAUGUUAUAUUGACCGCUAGAGCUAGGGGAUUAAUUAGCAAGGGUUGUUAAGCCUACCUAGUCUUUGCACUUGAAACUAAAAAGGAGAAUCCAGGUGUGCAUGACAUAGCCACAAUGUGUAAUUUCCCUUAUGUUUUUCUCGAUGAUCUUCCCGAGUUACCACCAAAGAGAGAGAUGGAGUUUGCUAUAGAUAUUGUACCAAGCAUUGCACUUAUCUCUAUUGUUCCUUAUAAGAUGUCACCUAUAUAACUGAAAGAGUUAAAAAUACAAUUGUAAGAAUUGCUUGACAAGGGUUUUAUACGACUUAGUAACUCACCUUGGAGCACACCUGUAUUAUUUGUGAAAAAUAAGGACGGGACCCUAAGACUUUAUAUAGAUUAUAGGCAACUAAAAAGAUGACAUAUAAGAAUAAAUACCCUUUGCCCUGAAUAGAUGACUUAUUUAAUCAACUGAAGGGAGCAAGUGUUUUUUCUAAAAUUGAUAUACGAUCGUGUUAUCAUCAAUUGAAGAUAAAAGAAACAGAUGUCUCUAAAACUAUUUUUAGAAUGCGAUAUGGACACUAUGAAUUUCUAGUUAUGCCUUUUGGGCUAACUAAUACUCCUGCAGCUUUCAUGGAUCCGAUGAACCACAUCUUCCAUUCUUACCUAGAUAAGCUUAUAGUAGCUUUCAUAAAUGAUAUCUUGAUAUACUUAAAGACUUAGGAAGAUCGUGAUCAACAUUUGAGGAUAGUGCUACAAACUUUGAGAGAGAAACAACUUUAUGCUAAGCUUAGUAAAUGUGAGUUUUAGCUAAAUAAUGAUAUAUCCUUUCUUGGGCACAUUUUAUCUGCUGAAGGAAUUAGAGUAGACCUUAAAAAGAUAGAAACUAUCCUUGAAUAGAAACCAUCUAAGAAUAUAGCCGAGAUUAGGAGUUUUUCUGGGUUUGGCUAGAUACUAUAGGCAGUUUGUAAAUAGAUUUUCAAUCAUUGCUACCCCAUUGACUAAAUUAUUGCACAAUAAUGUUAAGUAUGACUGGGAUAACAAAUAACAAAAGAGUUUUGAGAAGGUUAAAAAAAUGCUUACAGAGGCACGUGUCCUUACACAACUAGAAUUAGGUAAAGGUUUUAUGAUUUACAGUGAUACCUCACAUAAUGAGCUUGGUUGUGUAUUCAUGCAAGAGGGAAAUGUAGUUGCUUAUGCUUCAAGAAAAUUAAAGUCACAUAAAAAGAACUACUCUACCCAUGAUUUAGAUUUAGCGGCCAUAGUCUUUGCAUUAAAAAUAUGAAGGCAUUACCUGUAUGGUGAGAAAUGUUAUAUCUAUACAGAUCAUAAAAGUUUAAAAUAUUUACCCACAUAAAAGAAGCUUAACUUGAGAUAUAAAAGGUGGUUAGAGUUGCUUAAGGAUUAUGACUGUAUUAUUGAUUAUCAUCCAGACAAUGUCAAUCUGAUAGCAAAUGCACUUAAUGAGAAAUAUAUAGUUGUUUUAAAAGCUAAUGCUCACCUAUCUUUAACUAAUGAUGGGGCUAUCAUAGCAAAACUGAAACUUAAACCCAAUAUACUUCAACAAGUCUAGGAGGCAUAGAAAGGAGAUAUAGAAAUAGUUUUGUGGAUAAGGCAAGUCCAAUAGAUGCAUUACUUUUGCAGAUAUGAUACUUUUUGUUUUGAAAAUGGUUUCUUUUUUUUUUUUGUAGUUAAUAUCAUAUGGAUAUGGUGAUUUUGUACUGUGUUAUAAUGUCGAUUAUGUAUUCAAUGAAUAUAUUAUAGUUUUUUGCAUAUUUCUGGUCAGUUUUUUUUUUUCAAAUUUAUUGUGUGACUCAACAAUUAUGCUAAUUCAACUACUCAACCAUAUUUUAUUCAGACAUCUCUACCAACUCAAUAUCUCAGCAUACUCAAUUUCAGUAAACACAAUCUCAAUAUAUCAUUAAAAAAAUCUCAAUAAACUCAAUUUUCAUUACAUAGAUCAAUAAAUUGUCAAUAAACUAAAUUUGUUAAAAGUAAACACAAAUUGUCUCUGAAGCUCUUAGUAUAAUUCCUUACCCCUACUAUUGUUUUACUUUGCUAAAAUUAAACAUUACAAAGAUCAAUAUGCAUAAUACAAUUGCAACACCCAUCUUCACUCUCCUAUCAAAUGCUUCCCUAGCACAUUUUUCAUAUUGCAAUUUUAUGUAUUCUUUGAAACAACAACAUUCUCUCUUCUUUCAAUUGAUUUAUUUUUUUCUUUCUUCAUGAGCUUCUCUUUUGGGUUUUUAAUUUGGUUUUGUAGAGAAAACUCAUUCUUAUCCUUAUAUACAACAACACCUUCCAAAGUGUCAAUCUUGUCAUAAAGUACAUUAAAUACAGUUCUCUCCCUAAAACCAUGGCUAAUCUCAUUAUCUAACCAAUAGAAAAGGUUGCAAUUGUUAACUUGAAACACACUUCAACAGGUAGCAAUCAAUAACGACAAUUACAGUAACCUUACAAAUGGCAUUAGAGUCAAAUUAAUAAAGAACAAAACAACUUCCAACCACUCACAAUCUAUCAACUCUCUAUACUCUCAUUUUAUGGCAUCAAUAUGGAUUCACAGAUUCAAUCCCAACAAACUAGUUCCACUCGCUCCAAUUGGUUAUUAAACCCACUAAAAUAUAACAUGUCGAGCUUCAUAAUUGAUAUCAAUGGGCGACUAUUAAAAAAAAAAAAAAUCAUUCCAUUACCUUUCUUAAAGAACAACACUAAAAUCUUCUCUCUAUAUCCUUCCUAUAUAUGAUGUUAAAACUUGGGCAUUCAGCGGGUGAAAGAGACAGUGUACUUAGGGGUGAGCAGUAUUUGGUUCAAACCGAAAAAACCGACCGAACUGAAUUAAUUUAAAAAUUUAUUUCGAUUUUUUAUCUAAUUCGGUUCGGUUCGGUUUUUAAUUUCAGAAAUUUUUGUUAUUUCAAUUCGGUUCAAUUUGAUUUUGAUAAAAAAAAUAAAAUAAAUCGAACCGCACCGAUUAAUGAUAAUAAUAUGUUAUUUUCAAUAAUAUAGAGAAAUUAAAUCAUAUUAAGAUUAAAAUAUUUUAAUUAAAUUUUAAAAUACUAAAAAUAAAGUGUAAAAAAUAAAAAUUUAUGAAAAAUCGAAACCAAUCAAAUCAAACCGAAUCAAACCGGUUCGAUUCGAUUUGAUUUCUGACCAAAAUUGGUUCAGUUUGAUUUUUUUAAAUACUAAAAUUUUAAUUUUUAAUUUAUUUAAUUCAGUUCGAUUUUAAAUCGAACUGACUGAAUACUCAUCCUAAAUGUACUCGACCACCACUGCUUACUAUUGAGGAAGAGUCCUCCAUUGACAAAUCGAGAAGUCCAAACUGAUAACUUGAAUGCUGUUUGCAAAUAUUGGUGAUUCAUAUAAACCACAAAUUUCAAAUGAGAGAUAAGACACCUUCUCUUUGAGAGAUUUUAAACAUUUAAGUUUUAACUAUAGUCAACUCUCCUUUUAUUUUUUAUUUUUUAUUUUUUAUUUUUUUCUGAAGUGAAAUUUUGAGUUAAUGAUAAAAAAAUUUAUAUUUUUGAUUUUACUAAAUUAUAUUUUAUACUUUUUUCAAUUAAAAUUUAAUUUUUUAAAAUUUAAUUGUACCAUGCUGUUAUUAAUACCGUUAAAAAACUAACGGAAUUACUAUACCACUUGCCAUUAAUACCGUUAAAAAACUAACGGAAUUACUAUACCACUUGCCACAUCAACGCUUUAUCACUAUGCUAUAUCAGUAAAAUUAAUUGUAAAAAAAUUAUAUACUUUAUUUUUGUUAAAAUUUCACCCUAAUUAAAUUCUAUAACUUCUAAUGUCUAACUAAAUAAAUCCUACCAUUACUUAUAUAGUUAAAGACUUAAAUUAUCAAAUUACUUUUUUCAUUAUUAAAUAUAUUUAAAAAUUAUUAUUAUUAUUAUUCUGUCUAAUAUGCUUAUUAUUUAGCAUUACUUUUAAAACUAUCAUUAAAAAAAUAACCUUAUUAAAUAUAUUAGUUAUGAAACAUUAAAAAAUAAUUUAAAAUAAUAUUUAAUAUAAUUUAGUUUAAAAAUAUUAAAAUAAUAAAAUAAUUUUUUAUAAUUUUUUUAAAAAUUAUUCUUUUAACUCUUAAAUAUAAUAUUAAUCAGCCACUUUUUUUUAAAAUAUAUUAAUAUUUACAGUAAAUUUUAAAAAAAUUAAUAAAAUAAAUAAUUAUUAAAAAAACUAUAUAUUAUAAUUACAUCCUAAAUUUUUAAAUUAUCAUUAAUUUUAUUUUAUUUUAAAAUUUACCGACAAGACAUACUGAUAUAACAUUGACAUAGCAAGUAACUUAACAAUUCCUAAUUACAACAAAAUUAAAAGUUUAAACUAUUAAUUCUGAAAUUUUUUAUUUAAAAAAACUAUACUUAAAUUUAAAUUCCAUGUAUCUCUAAGAUUUUGAAAAUGGUCAAAAUUAAUUUGAGCAACAACAGAUUAUAAAGUUUAGGUACAAUGUAUAAGAUUAAAAGUAGAUAUAAUCAAGAAUUCACAAAAAUGUUUAGCUUUUUAAGACCAAUAGGUCUUUAUUAAUUAUAUUCUCAUAUUAUUCAUAAUGCAAAUAAUUAUUUAGAAGUUAUAUAAUAUAAAAUUGGCAAAUUAGAUAAAAAAGUUCAACAUUUUGCGUUUUAUAACCCUUUAUGGCCUAACAUUCUACUUGUAUAACAAAGCCUAACCUUUUCAAUUCUUUACAAUUAUAACUAAACAACAAAAUUGAUUUUAACAUACUUAAAUUCAAUACAAUCAGCAGUUUCAUAAUAACAAUAUGCAACAACCAUCUGCAUCAACAUCCUCAACUGCACCAUCUGUACUAGUACCAUUUGAAGCAAUAGCAGCACCCUCAAAUGCACUAUCUAUAGCAGUCUCAAUUGCAUCACAACCAAUAACAUCAUCUGUAUCAACACUACUACGAGCAGUUAGUCCAAUUGCCAAGUUAAGUCUACUGAAUUUAAAUUGGUCAAAAUCAAUUUAGAAGUCUAACUAUAAUUGCAACUAAUUGAAAAGGCAAACUUUAUUAUACAAAAUUAGAAGGUCAGAGAAUAAGUGUGACAACACGCAAAAUUAUAACAUAAUACAUAUAAAAAUUGCUAGUUAGUUAUCAUUUUAGGGUUCAUUCUACUUUUAGAGUAUAUUUAUUCAUUUGUUCAAUUCUUAUUUAUUUAUUGUACCAUGUAGGAUUGUUUAUGUAGUACAACAGUUGUACUAUAUAAUAUAAUUUUUCCAUGUGGAAAGGCUUCUCUUUAGCAUAGCUUUAUAUAGAUAUAUAAAUAUAGAUUGGCAAACAUAAUCCUAAGUUUGCAAUGUGAGAUGACUUUAUAAGCAAUAAUGAUCAGAACAAAUUGUUAGGAAAGAUUUUAGUUCAAGCAUGAACUUGGUUUUACUUGAUUCUUACUAUUUUUCUUGGUGAUUUUUAUCAAAUUUAUGUCAGAUUUAAUUAAGGAAAAGCUGAAAUUAUUAUAUGCUAAUUCAUAAAAACCACCUCCAUCUUGCAGAAGAAUUUGAAUACCUGGCCACUUCUGAUUUAGCUUGGAGAAGCAUAACAGACUUGGCAAGAUAUGUACAUAUGGGUAAAACAUCCACAUGCAUACUAAUAUAAAGUUAAAUGCAUUAAAAAGGAGAAAAUUUUGGAAAUUAUCACAGGAAGAAAGAUGGCAAUUUUUACAUUAUGAUUAUGAUUCCUACAUCAUGCAACAACAAAGAAGUUUCCAGGCAGAAUUAGGGUGUAAUAGACUUAAAUGCCCUUGAGAUUGGAUACCUUUACUAAAGCAUGGAAGUUCAUGGAAUAACCACUUGACUCCAAAGGCAAAAGUAAAAGAUAACCAACAAAAGCAAAAGACAGAAGCUGCUCUUCUAGAAACCACCUGGUACUGGGCAAAUUUUCAAGAAAUGGAAGGGAGGCCUAACCGUACCAAUCAAAAAGAGGGAUGGAAGAAAAAACUAGGAGGAAACUAUGGUGCAAUCUAGAAACUAUCCAAGAAGAUGAUGGGUGAGUAAUUUGGUCACCAACUCUUGACCAUGGAACNNNNNNNNNNNNNNNNNNNNNNNNNNNNNNNNNNNNNNNNNNNNNNNNNNNNNNNNNNNNNNNNNNNNNNNNNNNNNNNNNNNNNNNNNNNNNNNNNNNNNNNNNNNNNNNNNNNNNNNNNNNNNNNNNNNNNNNNNNNNNNNNNNNNNNNNNNNNNNNNNNNNNNNNNNNNNNNNNNNNNNNNNNNNNNNNNNNNNNNNNNNNNNNNNNNNNNNNNNNNNNNNNNNNNNNNNNNNNNNNNNNNNNNNNNNNNNNNNNNNNNNNNNNNNNNNNNNNNNNNNNNNNNNNNNNNNNNNNNNNNNNNNNNNNNNNNNNNNNNNNNNNNNNNNNNNNNNNNNNNNNNNNNNNNNNNNNNNNNNNNNNNNNNNNNNNNNNNNNNNNNNNNNNNNNNNNNNNNNNNNNNNNNNNNNNNNNNNNNNNNNNNNNNNNNNNNNNNNNNNNNNNNNNNNNNNNNNNNNNNNNNNNNNNNNNNNNNNNNNNNNNNNNNNNNNNNNNNNNNNNNNNNNNNNNNNNNNNNNNNNNNNNNNNNNNNNNNNNNNNNNNNNNNNNNNNNNNNNNNNNNNNNNNNNNNNNNNNNNNNNAGAAGACUCUUCACCAGUAUAAAUAAGGUGGCAUAGGAAAAUUCACAGAAUGAGUUUUCACAACCUCCAUGGGGCGGGGAGCACCAAAGGUUGAAAAGCCAACAUUCCCAGGUGCAAAUGUAACUCUUCCAGGUAGUGUAAUCCCAUGUAUACCCCAUCGGCCCGCAUAAAUUAGAGCUCCAUAUUCAUCAACAGGGCUCACAGCAGGCUGAAUGAUGAAAAGAAUACAAAAUCAGGAACAUUUCAAUCAUCACUAACUUUCGGCAAGGAAAUCUACCAAACAAUUAGUACUUUGCUAUCCAGAAACUGUGCUACAAUGAGCAAAUGAAAAAGCAAAAGACCAGACAGGAGAAUAAUAUCCCAUAAACCUUAAUUCUUUACACUACUUUUUGCAGAACUUAAAUGAAUAACCUCUGCUAGAAGUAGAACAGCGAACUAGUCAGCAGUACCAAAAUAUAAAAGUGGAGCAAUCAAUCAAAGAAAGACGCCAGCAGACCAUAAAAUUGCAUUUUGUUAACACACAUAAAUAAUUAUCCUUCUUGGCCUAGCUGAUAUGCAGAUUUUCAUUUGUAACAUGUUUUAUGUGUGCAUCCGUGUGUUAAAUUUAUGUAUACUACUUGAUACAAAUAAAAUGUGCAUUGAUGCUAGGACAAAAAGCAAUCAAGAAAAAAUCAUUAUUCACCAUGGAGAUCAAGAACUCACUUGAGAUAUUCGUGGAGCACUUUUGUAUAUAUCCCAAAUUUUGUCAGCUUUUAUCUCUCCCUUCUCAAGUAAAAUAUCUGCAUAAAGGAAAGGCAUCAAGUAAGAGAUGUUAUCUGUUAUGAUUCCCAGUUACAGAUUGGGUCGCACGAAGAUGAACUGGAAAUGAAAUCCUUGGAGGAAGCAUUUAAUACCUUAGACUCGUUAAAAUGAGAGUUCUAAAUUUGAAAUGUGUUUGUAAUUAAUAUGCCCGUUCUAUUGAAUAAAGAGAAACCGCUUAUAUAAUGGAGAUUUAUACAAUUAUAGUACUUCUAAUUAAAGUAGAAGCAUGAUACAAGCAAUCAUUAGAUAAGAAACUCUUAAGAUAAAGUAAUAAGAAUAUAAUAAAACAAUACCUGAUAAUGCAAUCUGUUUGUUGCUAAUAAACUGUAAUCUACUAUAGCUGAUAGGCUUUUUCAAUUUGGACUAUGUUUGAAGAAUGGAUUAGGUCUAUUGUUAUCCAUAACAUUACAGUUUUAUGCAUACAACUAAAAAUUAUAAUUUAUAGUCAAUUUUUUAGUAAUUUAAAAAAACCUAAGCAAAUCCACAGGCAUUAAACAAGUAUUAAAAUAAAGACAAACAACUAAAAUGACCUGUAAUUGUCUCUACAGCUGACUGGUAUUCUCUUAGCACUGAUGUACAUUUUUCAACAGAAUAACGCAUGUAUUCAUCCCGAAGUGCUUCAAGUUUUGCUGCAAGCUGUAGUAAAAACGAAAUGACAAAUGCAUUACGUUACUUUAAAAGCUCAUGAAAAUGCAAACCAAGCUUGCAACAAAUUCAAUAUAAAGAUCUUCAAAUUGUACAUUGGGCACAAGAUCACUAUGAUUCCUAUAGAAUGCCUUCCCAAAUGCUGUCAUCCCAGUCUGCAGAAUCAAACGCUCUGCAUGCCUUGAAGCUUCUAAUGUUGCUUUUGAAGAGAUCCAACACAAAUUGUCCACCCCAAACAUCUCCUCCUCAAUUACUCUAGCUACAUAACAGAGAAAUCACGGAACCCUAUUAAAUUCAUCAAAAACAUCAAUGAGAGAAUACAAAAAAAAGAACAAUAAACAAGCGAUGUGUUAUCAUUUAGCAACCUAAUUUUACAUCUGCCUUGGACUUAAAGAGAGUACUAAGUUUUGGUUUUGUUCCUUCUGCAAAUCUGCUAUAAAAGCAUUUGGUUUAUGCCAUAUUUAUUGCUCCCUUUUGGUCGUGGUAAGGUUAGAUCUUCCUUCUCCAUGUUGUUUUGUGCUAGGUAAUGAAGUUAUUGAUAUGUGGAUAGAGAUCAUGGGUUCAAUCUCUUCAUUUGAUGUAUUUUUGGCCAUUAUAUAGGAUUUCUUAUUUUUAUUCGAGUCCUUGAAUAUCAAAUUUUGUUAGUGCAUUUUGCAAUUUUAGUAUUUUACAAUUAGUUUUGUUUAGAGAUAGGAGCCAUUUUGUCAUGUCUGCAAUGAUAUAAAUAAUUAAAUAAUAAUAAUAAUAAUAAAUAAUUAAAUAUCAAUAAAUUAUAUAAAUUAUAUAUACUAUGUAAUAGAAUAAUCUAUAAUAUUAUUUGAUAUAGAAUAUAAAUAUAGAAUACAAUUGUAAUAUAGAAUAUAGACUAAUAAUAUAAUAUAUAAUAAUAAUAAAAUAAAAUAAUAAUAAAAUAUUUCAAUAUAACAAAAGAAGUUAAUAUUAGUCUUCUAUAAAUAACCAUUAUUUGUUAUUAUUACUAGUAUCAAUAUUAAACUUCCAUCGCACGUUACUAAUACCAAGAUAAUUUAUUAUAUAUUACUAACACCAAGGGAAAAAGUGAGAAAAGUCAAAAGAUUCCAACAUCUCUAUUUCUUCCAAGGAAAAAAGGUGAACUUUAACUAUUACUAAAAUCACUUUCUCUUCCAAGGAGAUCAUCUUCUUCCUUCUCUUCUUCUUCUCCUUCUUCUGUUCAACUUCUUUUUUCUUUGGCUGUUGAAGGAACAAAGAAAAAAACAGCUAUUUUACAAAGGUGGUGCCUCAAACACCUAGCGCCUCUCGCCUUUGUCACCUAAGCAUGCCUCACCCAGGCAAUGCGAGGAUGCUUCACCUAGCCUUGCCCGACACCUUUUCACGUGUUUAACAACACUGACCAAGAAGUAACUUGUAAACUUGUAUUUGCAAAGAAAGGCAACAAAAUAGCUUUAGAUCUAGGAUCUAACUUUCCAGAAGAUAACCAAGUAACGUUAAUGUGAUGACCUUUAUAUAUCAGUUGUUACAUAACAUAAUGAUCUAAAACUAUGUUCAGUGAUUAGAAGAUAUCAAAUGGCAAUCUAAAUGUAGAACUUCCAAUUGCAUAGAAAAACUGUGCUUCCACCGAUAAAAUGUGUCUUUCAAUUCGUAAGACCUUCUCUUGGCCUAGAACUACUCUUAAGUUGGAGACAGGCAUACAAACAGGAAAACUUCAUCAGAACCACAUCCUACGAAAGCUAUAUCUGUCAAGAUACCUGUUGAGAUUAUUUCUGUAAAUAGCCUAAAUUUGUAGUGAUAAUUAGGGAUAUGAUUAUGUGAUAUGAUUAAAAUAUGAUUAGAC